rnacentral:lncRNA from 1 species
GUGGGCGCGGAUCCAGGGUAAGGGGUUCGGAGAGGAUGCUCCCGAGGUCCUGGGGCCGGGGCGGGGCCUGGGGGGCGCGGGUCGGAGGUGGGGAAUUUGGGGGUGUGCGCUGGGGAGGCGGCGGAGAGGGGUGGGGGGAGUGGCCAGCGGCCGUGCCCAGAUUAAGCGGGAGGCGCGCCGGGCGUCGGCACUCGGGCGGCCCUGCCUGCUCUCGGCUCCCGCGGCGGUGCCCUCUCGCCGCUUCUCCACCCGCCGCCAACGUGCNNNNNNNNNNNNNNNNNNNNNNNNNNNNNNNNNNNNNNNNNNNNNNNNNNNNNNNNNNNNNNNNNNNNNNNNNNNNNNNNNNNNNNNNNNNNNNNNNNNNNNNNNNNNNNNNNNNNNNNNNNNNNNNNNNNNNNNNNNNNNNNNNNNNNNNNNNNNNNNNNNNNNNNNNNNNNNNNNNNNNNNNNNNNNNNNNNNNNNNNNNNNNNNNNNNNNNNNNNNNNNNNNNNNNNNNNNNNNNNNNNNNNNNNNNNNNNNNNNNNNNNNNNNNNNNNNNNNNNNNNNNNNNNNNNNNNNNNNNNNNNNNNNNNNNNNNNNNNNNNNNNNNNNNNNNNNNNNNNNNNNNNNNNNNNNNNNNNNNNNNNNNNNNNNNNNNNNNNNNNCCCCCCCCCCCCCCCCCCCCCACCAGGCCCCGGGCACCUGCCCUGGGGAGUGCGGGGCGGGGGCGGGCAGUGGAGGAAGCGUGGCCUGUGAGGGUGGCGGGAGGGGCUGCGGGGUUGGGGCCCCGGGGUCACCAGAGGAGAGCUUGUCUGGCUCCCGGGCUUGUCUGCCUGGGCUUGAACUGGGCGCUGUGUGUUGAUUAAUUUGGAGGCUCGAGUUACCAGCCUGGCAGUCUGGGCACUCGGGAAUGCCAAGAGCAGGAGGCAGCUGAGGGGAAAGAGAAAGCCCAUCCUAUUCUCUGCUACGUUGAACUGGCUUUUCAGGGUAAAUCUUAUCUGCGGAAACGCGGGAGAAAACCAAGAGCCAACUUCGUCCUGGGUGUCGAGCUCCUGAGAGGGCCUUUCGUGAACGCGGAUACAAACGCGCAGGGUCUUGCUUCUUAGGGCCCUGUCUUCAGAUCAGUGAACCGACGUGCCACUCACCACGUUGGUUCCGGGGUGGGGGUGGGGGGUGCAUUUAGAUCCCUUCUGGGAAUCAUGUCAUUACAUACAGAAAAAUACAAUUACAUCAGAAUCACUUCUACUGGAGUACAAAUCAGAGCAUCAAAGUGGUGAUACAGCCGCAGAGGUGCAACCUUAUCGUUGCACUGAAGACCCCUCUGUCUAACGGCAGAUCCGUUUAACAACCGUAAUCUCCAGUAGUGGUGACAGCAAAACUAUGAUGUGAAAGUAUUAAAGGAUGCAAACUCCCAAGAAGUGCCCAUGCUAUUGUGGUUUGUAGCCUGUAUUCAUCACUGCCGGAAACGGGGAACUUCCAGGAAGGGUUAGAGAAAAGGGACAUGGGCUUUUUGUUGCCAUACGUUCACAGGCCACCUGAAUUCCGUCUCCAUGUUAAGCGCCCUGCUUUGGGGCAGUGUUGCUGACAUCUGCAGUAGGUGGCCAUCAAAUGCCAAGUGUGAAAUGUGUGGUUUGGUCAGUGAUUGUGGGGAACCACUUGCUGGCACUUAGAAUAGGGUUGAUUAUUGUGUUAGACCUAUGUAGCCAUGUACGUAGGCAAAACCCUAACAGCGGAUGGAUGAAGACAUCUCCUCUCCCCCCACCCUUUUUUUUUUGGCUGGAGAGUGAAUUUUACCGUCUUCCCUCUGUUUUUCAUGCCAGCGAUUGUCAACUGUGGCUGUGCAUUAGAAGCUCCUAAGAAGUUCUAAAAAUCCUGAUACCCAAUGCAUCCCAAGCCAGUCACACCAGACCUUUCAGGGGUAGGACUCAGGUGUGUUGUAAAAUUCCCUGGAAAUUCCCAUGUGCAACUGUGUUUGAGAGCUACUGUUUUACAUGCAAACUUUGGUUAGCUGAAUUGAAUUAGGGUCUCUUCUUUGUAGAAAAAUCAAAAGGACAUAUAUUAAACUCUUUAGCACACAUAAUGUUGCAUUGUGGUACAGAGUAGCUUCUCCCUAUUGACAGGGAAGGCUCUUAAGGAACCUUCUCCUGGCACCCUUGUUAGGUAGGACAUCAGGUGCUCAGUUGAUGAAAUAUGAGUGUCCAAGAAUUCCAAAAGAUGUAUGAUAAUAUUCUAUGAACUCACAUUACUUCGUAGACAAAAAAAAAAAAAAUUAAAACAAAACAAAAAAAACCCUCAAUGCUAGUGCUGAAUCCCCUCUCUUUUAAUUCCAGAAGAUUUGUCCAUUUUGGAUUUCAAUUCCUUUUCCUGAAACCAAGUCAUUUUGAAAGAAGAUCAGACUUGGCUUUGUCGACUUUGAAAUGGGAGGCAGCCAUCAACUGCAAGUUGCUUCUGAUGCUGCAACAGAGCAGGAAAGAAACCUGUGAUGUAAACACGGUAAGGAGGAAGCAGUUGUUAAGAGCUUGGUCUCUGGGGUAGACUCUGGAUUUUGAGUCCUUUCCAUACCUGCUAGUGUGAGCUAAACUAUGUGGGAUGGCGUCUUCUCUUCUGUAAAAUGGGCGUAAUCAUGGUCCCCACCUCAAGGAGCUGUAGGAAUCCAGUGCAGCAAGGCAUUAGAAGCUCUUUGUCCAGGGUCUUCCCCAAACAAGCACAUUUCGGGAUCUGAUUCUCCAGGCGCAUAAAGGAAAGUAGGGUGAACACGAUUACAAAUGGCGGCACAAGAUAGAUAUGCUCUUCUCAACUCAAUAGGAGUAGGAGUUCCUCAGCAGGAAAGGGCAAGGGUCAAACACGCCCCACUAGCUCCCUUGAGGUCAACCCACUACUAAGACAUCUAGAACAAUGUUACUUGGCAUCCUGAGAGCAGUAGCUUUGGCAUUCUGGAGAGCUGGUUACAAAUGCAGAGUCUCAGGGCACCUGGCUGGCUCAGUCAGCAGAACAUGUGACUCUAGAUCUCAGCGUUGGGAGUUCGAGCCCCGUGUUGGGCAUGGACCCUACUCAAAAAAAAAAAAAAAUGCAGAAUCCUAGGCAUUACCCCAGACCCAUUGAAUCAGAGCCUGCAUUCACCAAGGUCUCCCACUGAUUCCUCCUCACAUUAAACUUUGAGAAGUGGCUUGUCUAAAAGCCAGAUUUCACCACCCAUCCCUCACCUCCCCACCACAUACAUACACUCUCCUUUGGUACAGUGUUGUAUACCUGAAACUAAUGUAAUAUUCUGUGUCAACUAUACUUCAAUUAAAAAAAAAUAGUCACACCCAGACACACAUAGACACACAAAAUGUUUGGUACACUCACUAGGUAGUGUCAGUAAACCAGAAUUCUUGGGGGUGAAGGGACUUGAUUUUUCACCGUUGGUUCUUAAAAUGUGGUAAAGUAGAAGGAAAGUGGGGGAUGGCUCUUUUUGUACAUACAAAGGAUACAGAGGUCCUACUUUUGAUGUUGAUGGCAGAUGAAAGUUUUGAACAAAAUGAAGUGGUCGUUGCCUUUGACAAGCCUUAUGUUAUUAUUUUGCCCCUUUUCCAUAAUGACAACAUCAUGUGGGUUUUCUACACGGUACUUAAAUAUAUAGUGGUCGCUUCCUUCCCUUUGAGUGUAAGCCCCGUGAGGGUAGGGGUCCUUUUGGCAUUCUUUACUGUUGGUAAAUGAACGACUUAAGUGAUGUAACCAGUUGCCUCAGGAUUCACACCCAGGUCUGUUUUCUUCCAAAGUUCCUGAUCUUUCUAUAGCCUUUAUUGUACAGGGAUGUGCCUCUGCUUUCGAUGAGGUGGCCGUAGCUCCUCCUUUCCUUAAUCUUUUUUUUUUUUUUUUGCUUCAUCUCCCCAUUUAGCCAUCCCUUUUCUUUCAAAAACCUUCUCUUUGCAGCACCUCGAAAACAGACGUUUAGGUUGUUUUCGAGUCUCAGAGUCAUUAUCAACUCCUGUCAGCUCUUUUCCAUUUUACAUCUCUGGAUUCCUUCACUGCUUUUCUAAGCUCCUGCCCAGUUCGUGCACUUACCAUCUAUGGAUUACGGUAGCCUUCUAGCCAGUGCCUUGCAAGUUCCCUCUGAAACCCAUCUUCUAAGACAUUGUCGGAGUUCCACUUAAAAUUGCACGUUGUAUGGGAAAAGACCUAUUGCUUUUGGAGCAGUUAGAAACAGUCCCCAAAUUUCAGAGGCUUCCAGUAACAAGAUUUUCCCUCUCUGUUUACAUUACAUAUUCACCCCAGAGUGUGGGGAGGCGAGAGAGGGGAGGAUGCUUUGCUUAUGAUAGCCACUCAGGAACCUCCUGGAAAUUCCCAUGCAACAUGUUCUCUCAUCUCAGAAGGGGGAGAGGAUGUGUCAAGUAAGAAACUGCUCUGAAAGCUUCCACGGGGAUGUGGCUCAUACUCAUUAUACUAAACUGGCGUUUCAUUGGCCAAAGUGGUCACUUGACCACACUUCAUUUUGUAAGGGAUGGGGAAAGACUACCACACGCCUGCAAAGAGGGCUGGAAAUAUUUGGUGAAUGUUAGUAAUGCCCAUCAUCUACAUCAUAGCACUUGCUUACUUUAAAGCCUCCAGAAACCCUUCUUUGUCUGCUUUGCAGCUCAUUCCAUGCUUCUUAGAAUAGAACAGGGUGGUCUAAAAUCAACUUUUUGUACUGCAUUUUACUUUUCUGGAUUACAAGGCCUUUGAGGGCGGGUACAGAAGGUGAUUUUUUUUUAACAUAAUGGAUGCAAAAUUAAUUUACUGAGUUGUGAUUUUUGUACAAGAAACAGUCAGUACCUAUCUAAAGUACACGACGCGAGGAGCUUCACAGGUGCAUUCAUCCCGUGCCACCAACACCACAGUCACGACGCAGAGCUUUUCUCUCACUUGCUGCCCCUUUGCAGCCCAUCUCUCGCCACUCCCGUCCCCAGGCAAACAUCGAUCUGCUUUCUGUCACUGUAGAUUGCUUGGAAUUUUCUGGAAUUUUAUACACAUGGAAUCAAACAGUGCGUCCCCUUUGUGUCUGGCUUCUUUGACUCAGCGGAAUGCUGGUGAGAUCCCUCCGUGCCGUGUGUAACAGCAGUUUGUUCCUGUUGCUUCCACCGGAUGCGUAUCAGCUUUUCAAACGCCGUUUACCAGCGGUUGGACAUUUGAUUUGUCUCCAGUUAGGGGGCUGUUACAAAUAAAGCGGCUGUGGAUAUUUGUGCGCAAGGCUUCUGUGCCUGUGUGCUUCCGGUGCUCUUGAAUAAAUGCCUAGAAGUGACAUGGCUAGACCACAGGGUAGGUGUAUGUUUAAUUACAAAAGAAGCUGUUUUCCAAAGUAGUUGUAUCAUUCUGUGUUCUCACCUGGAUUCUGUGUUCUCACCCGCAUUCCGUGUUCUCCCCCACAUUCUCUGUUCUCCUCCGCAAUGUGUGAGAGCUCUAGCUCCUGCAUAUAUUUCUGGCACAUUCUUUUGGUCUCCUCAAUCUUUUUAAUUUUAUUCUUUUUUUUUUUUUUAACUUUAUUUUGAGAGAGAGAGAGAGCACGAGCAGAGGAAGGGCAGAGAGAAAGAAAGAGAGAGAAUCCUAAGCAGGCUCCAUGCUGUCAGCACGGAGCCCAACGUGAGGCUGGAUCCCAUGACGGUGAGAUCAUGACCUGAGCUGGAAUCAAGAGUCUGGACGCUCAACCGACUGAGUCACCCAGGCACCCCUGUCUUAGUUUUAUUCUGAUGGUUAUACAGUGGUGUGUCAAUGUGUUUUUGUUUUCAUUUGCCUGAUAACUCAUGAUGCUCAACCUCAUUUCAUGUACUUUCUUAACCAUUCAUAGAACUUCUUUUGUGAGGUGUCUGUUCAAAUCUAUUCCCCAUUUUAAAAACAUUGAUUGUUUGGGGUGCCUGGGUGGCUCAGUUGAUUAAGUGUCCAUCUCUUGAUUUCGGCUCAGGUCAUGAUCUCAUGGUUCGUGAGAUCGAGCCCCUGUGUUGGGCUCUGCACUGACACUGUGGAGCCUGCUUGGAUUUCUCUCUCCCUCUCUCUCUGUUCCUCCCCUGCUCUCUCUCGAACUCUCCCUCGAGCUUGAGCUCUCUCUCAAAUAAAUAAACAAGCUUAAGAAUAAAAAAGAAAAAAAAUGUUCCUCUUCUUACUGUUGAGUUAUGUUAGUUGUUUAUAUAUAUAUAUAUAUAUAUAUUAUUUUAUUGUUAAAACAGUUUUUUUUCAAUGUUCAUUUUUGAGAGACAGAGACAGAGCGCAAACAGGGGAGGAGCAGAGAGAGAGAGAGAGAGAGAGAGAGAGAGACAGACAGACAGACAAAAUCUGAAGCAGGCUCCAGGGUCUGAGCUGUCAGCACUGAGCCCAACGCAGGGCUCGAGCCCAUGAGCCAAGAGAUCAUGACCUGAGCCGAAGUUGGAUGCUUAACCGACUGAGCCACCCAGGCGCCCCAGGAUCUGUUUUAAAUUUGCUUUUCUUAUACGGAUAUCCAGCUGUCCCAGCACCAUUUUUUGAAAAGACUUCUCUUUCUCCACUAAAUCAUCUUGAUUUUAAUAGAAAAUCAAUUAAUUGUCUAUAUUUGGGUCUUUUAUUUGUUCCUCUCAUAUACCUGUCUCUUCUUUCACCAAUGUUACAUUUCCUUAGUACUAUAGCUUUCGAGCACGUUCUUCAAAUCAGGGUAUGCAAGUUCUCCAACUUUGUUGUUGGUUUUUUAAAAAAUAGCUUAUGCUGUCCUAGAUAAUUUGAACUUACAUAUAUGUGUAUUUGAUCAGCUCACGUCGUGUUAAGGACAGUGGUGUCUACAUUCAUGAGGGGUAUUGAUCUAUAGUUGUCUUGUAAUAUCCUCAUCUAGUUGGUAUUUGAGUAAUACUUACCUCAUAAAAUGAGUUGCCUAGCAUUCUAUCUUCUAUUUUCUGUAAGAGUAUUUGAAGAAUUGAUGUCAUUUCUUCCUUAAAUAUUUGAUCGAAUUCACCGGUGAAGCCAGCUGACCCUGGAGUUUUCCUUGUGGAAGGUUUUGAAUUUCAUUUAAUUAUCGUGAAUUUAAUUGAUAUAGGGCUAUGCAGAUUUUCUGUUGCUUCCUGUAUCAGUUCUGAUAAUUUUCAUCUUUCUUGGAAUGUGUUCAUUUUUUAUACAUUAUCAAAUGUAUUAGCAUAUAAUUGUUCAGAAGAUUCUGAUCUUUUUAAAAACAUUUUUAAUGUUUAUUUUUGAGAAAGAGAGAGAGAGAGAGAGAGAGAGAGCGCGCACACACACACACACACACACACACACACACACACACAAGUGGGGGAGGGGCAGAGAGUGAGGGAGACAUAGAAUCAGAAGCAGGCUCCAGGCUCUGAGCUGUCAGCACAGAGCCUGACACAGGGCUUGAACCCAUGAACUGUGAAAUCAUGACCUAAGCUGAAGUCGGACUCUUAACCGACUUGAGCCACCCAGGCCCCCCUGAUCUUUUUAAUACCUGUAGAUCUGUCAUAUUUUCCCCUUUGUCAUUUUUGACAAUGGUAAUUUAUCAAGUUGAUCAAUUUUAUUUACCUUUUUAAAAACUGAAGAGCCAAGGUUAGAGUUUCAUUCAUUGUUCUCUAUUGCUUGAGUGCUUUUUCUUCUGUUGAGUUCCUGUUCUACCUUUAUUAUUUCUUAGCUUUGAUUAAUUUGUUCUUCUUUUCCUCAUUUUCCAGAAUAGGAGCUUAGAUAAUUGAUUUAGACUUUUCUUCUUUCCUAAUAUGAACAUUUAUAGGUAUAUUUUCUUUGCCUGUGUUGGGUAAGUUAUAUCCCAUAAAUUUUGAUGUGUUGUUUUCAUUAUCACUCAGUUCAAAAUAUUUUCUUUGACUCAUGGGUUAUUUGGAGUGUGUUAAUUUCCAAAUAUUUGGAAAUUUCCUAGGUGGUUUAUGAAGUUGAGUCUGAAUUCAAUUCUCCACAAGAUUUCAAUCUUUUGGAAUCUAUUGAGAUUGUUUCAUGUUCCAGUGUAUGGUCUAUCUUGGUAAACACACUACAUCCACGUGGGGAAGAAUAUAUAUUCAGUAGUUGUUGGGUGUAGUCUUUUAUAUAUAUAAAUUAGGGCAGUGUGGUUGAUGGUGUUGUUCAGAUCUUCUGUGUCUUGACUGAUACUUUCUACCUUGUUCUAUCAAAUACCAAGAGAAGAGUUAGUGUCCCAAGUAUGUUUGAAAAAUUAUCUAUUUCUUUUUUUAGUUUUUCAAUUUUUGCUUCUUGUAUUUUGAAGUUCUGCUACUAAGUCCCUAUAUUUAUGAUAUGUGUCGCUUUCUGGUAUAUUAACUUUCUGAUCCGUAUCGUGUUGCUUCCUAUUUUCAAAUCUCUUAUGUGCCAUUGGCAUAGCCAGUCUGCCUUUCUUGUAUGUACUAUUUGUGUGGGAGAUGUUUUCCUGGCCUUUGCUUUCAAUAUAUUUGUGUCUUUUUAUUUAAAGUGUGUAUUUUAUGGCAUAUAGUUGGCUUUUUCUUUUUUCUUUUUUUUAUUUUAUCAUUAUUUUUUUCAACGUUUAUUUAUUUUUGGGACAGAGAGAGACAGAGCAUGAACGGGGGAGGGGCAGAGAGAGAGGGAGACACAGAAUCGGAAACAGGCUCCAGGCCCUGAGCCAUCAGCCCAGAGCCCGACGCGGGGCUCGAACUCACGGACCGCGAGAUCGUGACCUGGCUGAAGUCGGACGCCUAACCGACUGCGCCACCCAGGCGCCCCAGCUUUUUCUUUUUUAAAUCAAGUAUGGCAGUCUUUGCCGUUUAGUAGGAAUUUUUAGUAUAUUUUCAUGUAAACUAGUUGAUAGGAUUAUAGUUAGGUCUGCCAUUUCUCCAUUUAUUUUCUGUCUCAGUUCCUUUUUUGGGGAUUCUUUUAUGUUAUUCAAUUUUUUUAGUAUUCCAUUUUAAUUUUUAAUUGGCUUCUACUUAUAUCUUUCUGAAUUGUUUUUAGUGGUUACUUUAGUGAUUACAAUACACAUCUUUAACUUUCCCCGAUCUACUUAAAAGUAAUAUUGAUUACUUCAGGUAAAGAAAAUUCAUUUUAGUAUCUACAGGGCCUAGCAUGGUAUUUGAUACAAAAUGGUAGAUGGAUAGAUAUUUCUUGAAUGAACAAAAUCAUAGGUAUUUACGUUGUACCAAAAGUAUAUGGAGUUGAUUCCAGAAAAAAACUUACUGGCGAAUGCCAGGCAAGUUAACUGAAAAUCACUUCAAAUUUUAAACAUUAUUACAUUUUUAGUUGACUUGAAUUUACAAAUCUUAUAAUUUUCAUGUAUAGUCAAAAUUCUGUGUAUUAUUUUAUUUUUUACACAUGCUUAAUACUUUUGUUGUAAAAAAUUAAUAUAGACCUCUUCUUAUCCUUAAUUUCUGAAGUUUGGAAAAAAAUCUCACUUUCCAAUUUUAGAACACGGAGACAAUGUUACUUUAAUAAUAGAAUUCUUUAUGUUUUUGUGAAACUUCCAGCUGUUAGUCAUCUCGGCCACUCUGCCCACAUGACAUCCUCUUCCCAUACCUAGCAUGCUGUCUUGGCUUUGAGCAGUUAUUUACUGGUGCAUAAUGUCCACACAGAAACACUGAAUGUGUUUUAUGGUCUGCAGCAGCCUGUGGGAUGGACUAGCUUUGAAGUCCAGGUUUGAGGGAUGCCCUUGAAACGUUUAUUAGGUUCCAGAGGUCAGAAGCAUCCCGAGAGGAGUCUAGUUCCAGGUCUUGCCCCAAAGGAGAGACCCAGUAGGAGAUUCUGAGUUUCUAGGAGCCAGCUCCUGCCAGACUCAAGACAGAUGGACACUGGGUAGAAGACAGAGGAAAAGGAGAGCCAUAGUUAAGCUCUCCUCAGAAAAGGUACAAGACUCACAUGACUACUGUGCUCCUUCUCACCAAGACAAAGCUUUCCUCCUGUCUUGGAACCAACUGCACACUCACCCUACUUUAUUUACCUUUAAAGUUCAUUUGGACACAUUUUGUGAAAUCAAUCUUUCUUUCUUUCUUUCUUUCUUUCUUUCUUUCUUUCUUUCUUUCUUUCUUUCUUUCUUUCUUCUUUCUUUCGCCUACAUGGCUACCUUAAAUGUUUGAAUAUUCAACUUUCCUACGUUUUAGUGAGAAACGAUGCCCUUUAAGAUUUCCAACUGUCCUAUAGAAGUUUCUAGAUUUGCGAUCCCAAACAUACAGACCUUCACACAAGAAAAAUUCAAGUUUUCGGUGUUUCAUGGGAAGCUGAAUGUCUUUGUAUCAUAGUGUUCCCAUUACAUUCAGAAAUGACUCUCCCUGCUGCUGCUAUUAUGGAAGGCUAAAGUUGUUCUUAGAGAUGAAUUCCUGAAACUCAUCCAUGAAUUUUCAUGAAUUUUGAAGCUGUGUCGUGUCAUGGCUAAUAAGGAAGUCUUUGGAGUUUGAAUCCUGGGUAUGCCACUUACUGCGUGUGUGACUUACUUGUAAAAGAAGUAAUCAUAAUAUUUAACUCAGGGUUACUGUGAAGGUUGUAGCUCUGUGUUAAGCCCUUAACAGUGCUUAGCAUAUAGGUGGUCCUCUGGCAAUGCUGCUCAUUAUAAUUUCUAAAAAAAAAAAUUAUGUUUAUUUAUUUUUGAGAGAGAGAGAGAGAAGAGUGCAGACUGGGGAGGGGCAGAGAGAGAGGGAGACACAGAAUCCGAAGCAGGCUCCAGGCUCUGAGCUGUCAGCACAGAGUCCCAUGCGGAUAUCGAACCCACAAACCGCGAGAUCACGACCUGAGCUGAAGUCGGACGCCCAACUGACUGAGCCACCCAAGUGCCCCUAUACUUUCUUAUGGUCGUGGUGUUGGUGACUAUUGUGAUGAUGGAGAAGAGGAGGAGAAAGGAAAGCAGAAGAGGAGAAGGAGGGCUAAGAAGUGUGUGUGUGUGUGUGUGUGUGUGUGUGUGUGUGUAGUGGGGCAGGGGUUAGAGGGAACUGCAGCAACAGUGAUAGCAGAAGGACCUGUCUUUCUGGUUGAUAAACCCCAAUGCCAGCCUUUUCCUAAGGUCUUCUCCAACUUAUGUUAACUCUGUGAUUCUCCACUAACUGAAGAUUCUUCAUCUCCCUCCAUAAUUUCUCUCUCCAUGUUUUUUUUUAAAUUUUUAUUUAUUUAUUUUGAGAGAGAGAGAAUGACAGCAAGAGAGUGGGGGAAGGGCAGAGAGAGAGGGAGACAGGAUCCCUCUGUCACGCCAUCAGCGCAGAGCCAGAUGCGGGGCUCAAGCUCACGAGCCGUGAGGUCGUGACCUGAGCCGAGAUCUAGAGUCGGACACUCAACCAACUGAGCCACCCAGGCGCCCCUGUCCUUAUGUUUAAUAGGUACUUUGGGAGGGACUGUCAUAGCGUAUUCCUCUUUUCUUUCCCCCAGAUCUUCUUGCCUCUCCCGACCAAUCUUGGCCUCUUCCUGAGUUUUGCCUGGGCUUCCAGUUCCCAAUUUGCUAACCCUUCUCUAAUAUGUUGUGCAUGGGAGCUCUUUUGCUCCUACAGGGUAUUAGGAAGGAAGGAAACAAACAUUUUUUUAACUACUAUCACAUGUCAGGCACUGUGCUAGGCACUAGUGUAGACUCAUGUAAUUCUCUCAGGGAUUAAUUUCACAUGCUGAGAAGUCAGAAGCUCAGAGGAGUUAUGUACUUGCUCAGGGUUUCAAGGCUAAGUGGUCAAGAUCUGAGCACAAGGCUUUCUAACUCCAGAGCCUGCUGUUACCCCUAACUGUGAGAAUGCAUGGACCAGGAGAAGAAGGCAGAUUGUCUCUGUGGAGGAGGGGAGAAGUCACCAAAGGCACACGUCAGCCUCACAGUACGGGUGGGCCCUGCCUGUUGGGAUUAUGGGGUGUUACUGCCAGAGCUCAACACAAAGGCAGUUCCCAGAGGUCUGAAAGGUCCAGAGAAUUCAGAUAGAGUCACCCGGCCCUGCCCAGAGGGGAAAAUCACAGACCUAGAGAAACCUGGGGGAUUAGUGUUUUUGACAUGAGACAUACAGCAUUUUGAGUCAAGAAUGUCAUUCUUAGCUUGGAGGUGAAGGGCCCAUCUGGUUUUGAAAAUCCAUUGUGUAUUUUUGGAACAUAUAUCACCUCCAUGCGGUUCCCAAGCAGUGACAUUAUUAUGGUUGUUGUCAACUUUUCUGUUGAUAUUGGGAGGAGUCCUCAAGGAGAAAAUGAUAAUAAAAGCCUAUGUUGGCAGAAUAGUAGGUUAGCUGAGAUAUAGUCCAGUUGGCUUUGGACUAACGAAUUCGACUCCAAGGUCAACUGAGGACUCCAUAGCACUCUUAAACAAUUCGACUGAACCUGCAGGGAAGGCAAGGUGGGGGCGGGAUUGGCCAUAAUCCAACAGCAUGCUGGUCAGGUUGGAACUCAGAGUCAUUCUCAAGAAUUUACUUGAGUAGUUCUCAAAGUUUUUCCGUGUUGCUUCUCAGAGAACAUGAAGCUCCAACCACAUUCCAGUGGUUCACGGACCACACAGAUUCAUGACCUGCUUUGUAAGCCUUGUGAUACUUACUUGUUGAGAUGGACUGUUUUUGCUAAAAAGCUCAAACCAACCUGAACUCUUUGAACGUCUGCAGGUAGAGUCAACCCAAGAAUAUGGGAUUUUCUAAAUACCAAAACCAAAUAAGCAGCUUAUAUGUUGGGGAAAGGUUGAGUCAUCUCUUAACAUGGGAAGUGUAAGCCUCGAAAGGAGAUGUCCGGCCACUGAGGUGGACACAGCGUUGUCAUUCUUUUUCUGGGAGCACUUUUCUAUCCUUCGAGGCCCUUUUCUUACUUGUUUGCAAAGAUGAGCCUUUAGGAAUUCUAUUUUGGAAAGAUAAAGGUAUAUACAAAUAGGUGUUCAGACUAUCAGAAAAAUUUCACCUUGGAGAGUCUUCAGAUAGUUCAGUGUCAGAAGGUCAAAGGAAAGAACGUGUAGAUAUUAAGUUAAUAGGAAUUCAUUUCACUGAAAGAACAAAAAUAUUAUUAUUUUAAAAAGCUCAAAGACUUAAUGUUACUUUGGAAAAGAAAAGACAUCAUACUUAUAUUACCUUUUUGAGACUGGAAGAUUCUGAUACUCAGUCUCCUGCUAUCCGGUCCUGUAAUCUUGACCAUUCCCUGCUCCCAUCCCCCGGUUGAUGAGAACCCAAGCAGGGUGUAUUUCUUUUCAAGAUUGGGUUGCAGAGAAAACAAAUUCCCCGUAGUAGAAAUAAUGAUUUAGAAGGUCUCAGAUCUUGUUCCCAGACAUAGCAUUUGGAAAACAUCGAGCAAAGACUCAUGAGGAGUCCCAGGGGAAUUGGAGUCCAGGAACGUUCAUAAAGGAGUGAAAAAAAAAAAAAUCAGCCCAGGGAGUUGGAAAAAGAGAAGCUAAUGAUAUUUGCUGUAUAAGCUAGAGCUUACUGAAAUAAACACAGGCUGGGAAAGAGCCUAUGGACCUUACUAUGGUUGUUGAACGAGGCUGAUGUUCAGAGAUCCAGGAUCUUUGGAGGAGAUCUUCUGGGGGAUCCUCUGGGGGAACCUCCAAGAGAGCUUCCUGUUGGGGUGUCCAGCCUUGGGACCAGCUAUGGGGGCAGAGCAAUGCUUUUCAUCAGACUUGGCUGGACAGGUCAGUUUGCUCAGAUAAAGGGAAUAGACUAUAAGCCUGCAUCAGAAAUGGGGCAGCUCUUGGGAAUGAGCUAGUCUUUCAUUCUCUGAUGGACCAUCAGUCUUUCUCUUUUCACAUUUUCCUUUCUUAAAAACCCAUUUUUUUAUGAUUACUGAGGAUAUCUGUUUCCUCUAAAUUCAGGCUUGUGCUUCUCCUAGACCUGUUUCAGCCUUCGAAUGUCUGACUCUCCUUCGGGGCGUCUUCCUCCCCCAGCCCCUUUCUUCUCUUUCCUAAGUCCUGUUUCUGAGAGGAGCCAUCCAGUUUGCAGUAUCCCCCGGCCCUGAGCCAGAGCUCUAGGUCAGGCUCUGGGUUGGGCUGCCUCUAGGUCAGGUGGUUAUCGUCCUCCACCACGUGGCUGGCUGAUGAAAAUCUGGCCGCACCCUCACUUAGCUGGGCCGAAGGCGGGACCUGAGUGGGCCCUGACACAGCAGCCCCUGGAGAAUGCUCCCUUCCUGAGAAUAACAGUUGACAAACUAAAGCAUGUCCUUUGAAAGGUGCAGAACCUUGGCAGAAGUUUCCUAGGUAGGCAAUCUCCCAAAGCAGCUGUUUGCAUUGUUUGCAUAUGUGUUGGUGGCAUAGGCGUAGCGCUUUGGGUUGCAAAGCUUUUUUUUUUUUUUUGCUAAUAAUGAUAGACUCCAUUGGAAACUCCCUGCCUUGGCCAGUCCUAUGUGAUGACAGCCAUGUAUUUUUGAGAAGGUAGGUUAGAAGGACACUGUUUUGAGCGAGAGAGUAUUUUUGUUUUGUUGUCUGGUGCAGUCAGAAGCUCGGUUGAGACAAAAGUUUUUAUGCUCUUAACACAGGCAGUUGCAACGAAGAAACUCCUCUCAGAUUGCUGUGGAUUACCUGUGUGACUGCGUUUUGAGAACACCGAUGCUCACGGUGCAAGCUGAUCGUCACAUGGGCCCUGAGCAUCACGUGCUCAGCUGUUGUGGCGACUUAGUUAGGAGAACAGUUAUAAAUUCUCCACGACUUGUUCAUGGCUAGUUUUGGGCUCGACAGACGUGUGGGGUUCAGCACGUGCUCAUCCAAGGCUUGCUCCGGGUCAAACAGUGAACAAGGCAGUUUUUUACCACUGGCAGCUCCUGGAGAGCAGAGGUCUUCAAGCUGAGGUACAUACGCCCUUGGGAAACAGAAUGAUUCCUCAGAGUUGUGCAGUCAGCUUGGAAGAUGAAGUCAAGGAAUCAACUUGCAGAUUCUCAACUCUAUCGUAUUCUUUCUUAGAAUUGUUCUGUCUGAAGAUGGGUCUUUGCUUCAUGUUCUCACCACCGCCUUUUACAAUUUUUCCUUUUGCUGGUUUUCACCAGAGAAGCAUACCCCUCUGCCCCCACCCACCCUGCUUUGUGCCCCCGAAGGCAAGAUCUGUUUGUGAGGCAGACGCUGGGCAGCGUAAAUGCAGGUGCUGAGAACAGAGAACAUUCCACCUUUUGGGUUCCACAUCCCUGGGCCAGGUGGUUUCUAGUAAGACUUAUCAGGUGGUAGAUCACUCAAAAUGAUUCUUGAUGAUAAAUUCUAUAUUGCUUUUGGCACACAAUUUAGGAGAAGUUCAAAGAACUGCAUGACAUUUAUAGAAGAAAUUCCUUCCAUUCACAAAGUCUUGUUUCUGUGAAUAGAUUUAUUAGAAUUUACAGUUUUUAGAAAGUAUAAUGGAAGGAGUACUGUUGCUUGACCCACCUCAUUUCUUGACCAGAUCUCAUUUGUUGAUCUGGGCUAAAUAAACUAUUUGAGAAACCGAAAUCCCCAAUUCAUUCAUUGCCGAGUACAUUUCCAGUAAAAUUUCAUUUGUAACGUGUUCAAUAAUUGUUUAUCAAAAUUUUAAUUUAUUUGGUUUUGGUGGAUUAUAUACCACUUAUCAUCAUAAUGAUAAACACAUUGAGGCAAAAACAUUUAUGACUUAGAGAUUUGUGAUCAUAGGGAAUAAAAAAAAAUAAUUUAUAUACAUAUUUUUGUCACAGAGAAGCAUAGUAAGGUAAUCUAUAUAAGAAUUUCCAAGUAUAAAAAUACGCUGCACUGGGAUAUACGUGGGGGAUAAAUUGGAAAUAUUAGUUCAAGAAUGAAAAUGAGGUAAAAUUUCUAGCUGGUUGAGAACUUGUUGUGCACAUAUUUUAAGCUGAUGGUGGCAAGAACCAUCCUUAGAAUGAUUAUGAUGGUCCAUUGGCUAUGUCAGAGUAGGGCUGUAACUCGUUUUGUUUUAUAAGUCACCAUGUACAAUGUUCCAAAUUAUACUCUUAGCACCUUUAAAGAGAAGAUGAAAGUGUUUAGAUAUUAACUCAUAAAAAAUGAAAAGGGGGUGUGUGUAACUUAAAAAACAUUCUUAGGGGGAGUGUCAGAGCAGACAUCUGCAGCCUGCUAUGCUUAGGUGUCAAAUGGCAGAAGGGAUCCGUACUGGAGUCAAAACCCCCCAGGUCUACCAUUUAUUAGCCCUGUGAAUUUGCACCAGUUACUUAAACUGACCCAAGCUGGUUUUCCUUCACAACUGAACUAAUACUUUCCUUACUGAAUUGUGGUGAAGGAAGUGAUUUGAUGUGCCCAGCACUCUUAGCAGAAGGUCCAAGGUGUAAUUAGUGUCCAUGCCUCUCCACUUUUCCCAAGGCUGUAACGAUCCCUCUUUCCAUGGCCCUCUUUCUUCCUUUCUCCAUCACCUCAUGUGUAUUCAAAGUUGGCCUUAUCUUACAUUCUCUGUUAAAUACAUUUGAUUAUCCCAAAGUAUAUUCUGUAAAUUCAUUCAUCCAAUGAAUAUAUGUUAAGCUCCAACUCUAUUCCAGGCACGAUUAUGGCUCUGGGGAUAACUGUGAAUUAAGAGACAAAAUCCCUAUUGUCACAGAGCUUACUAAGUGCACGGUGAUGAGGGUGCAUUGGCUGCUCCCAAUUAGCGAUGUCCUUUCACUAGUGGGAGACCAGUUGGAUUUCUGCGGAUUGGCCCAUCUGUCCAUCCACCCAACCAGCCAGCCAUCUGGUCAUUCAGUUACAAAAUGUAUUGAGAAACUCCUAAGUGUUAGGACCGUGAUCAGGCAUUCUUGUCUGAAAGUGACUGCAAAAGCACUCUAUUUUAAUAAAAUCCCUGUUUGUACGCCCUUUAUCACAAUAUGCGUAGAGAUUAAUGCAUGAUGUAUCUAUUUUGUGGUUAAAUGUAAAUAUCCCUGGUUUUCUUUAAUUUUUUCACUAUUUCUUACCUGUUUAAAAUAAUGAGUACCUUUUUUUUUUUUAAUGUUUAUUCAUUUUUGAGAGAGAGAGAGAGAGAGAGAGCAAGCAUGGGCGGGGGAGGGGCAGAGAGAGGGAGACACAGAAUCUGAAGCAGGCUCCAGGCUUGGAGCUGUCAGCACAGAGCCUGAUGCGGGACUCCCACUCAUGAACUGUGAGAUCAUGACCUGAGCCAAAGUCAGAUGCUUGACCCACUGAGCCACCCAGGUGCCCCAACUGAGUACCUUUUGAAUGAUUCAAACCAAUUUGUGUAUUCCUUCUAAAUCAAUAAUUUGUUUUAUUGAGAUUUUCUUCCAGUAUGCAGCUAAAAAAACGCAUUUAAAAUGAUGAAUGUGGAGGGGUGCCUGGGUGGCUCAGUUGGUUAAGCAUCUUAGUUCAGUUCAGAUCAUGAUCUCGAGGUCUGUGAGUUCAAGGCUUGUGUCGGGCUCUGUGCUGACAGCUUGGAGCCUGGAGCCUAUUUCAGAUUCUGUGUGUCUCUCUCUCUGUCCCUCCCCAGCUCAUGCUCUGUCUCUCUCACUUUCAAAAAUAAAUAAACAAAAAAAUAAAAAAACAUUGUUUUGAAUGAUGGAUUUGGGGAUGGGAAAUGAUCCGGUCCCUCAAAGUGAUUCUUUUUCUACCUGACUCUCAAACUGUAUCAAGGAAUGUUGUUCUACCACUUACAUGGGGAACUAGUAUUCCAUAAACACAGCAUUGAAUUAGUUUAUCCAGAUUUCAUCCAGAAAUCAAAAAAUUUCCAUUUGAAGACAUUUCAAUAUCAAGACAUUCCUUUAGGCCAGGUCUUUUUAUAUAAUAUCUAUACCUUUUUUAAUCAAAGAUAUAGAAUUUUUUGAAUCAUAUGUUUUCUCUUUUUUUUGAGAUAAAAUUCACAAAAUAAAGUCACUGUUUGACUUAUUUUAAAGUUCAUAAUUCAGUGUUUUUUAGUAUAUUCAUGAGCAACCAGCACCACUAUCUAAUUCCAGAACAUUCCGUAGUCUCAAGAAGAAACCUCCCAAUUCUCUCCUCCAACCCCUGACAAUUACUACUCUACUUUCUGUCUCUGUGGAGUUGCCUAUUCUGGUUAUUUCAUAAACAUGAAAUCAUACCAUAUGUGUCUUUCCUGUAACAUGAUGUUUUCAAGGUUCAUCUAUGUAUCAGUCCUUCAUUCCUUUUUAUGGCCAAAUCUCUUGUGUGGAAGUAGCACAUUUUGCUUAUCCAUUCAUCAGUUGAUGGGCAUUUUGCUUGUUUGCACUUUUUGGCUAUUAUGAAUAUUUAUGUACAAGUUUAUGCAUGAAUAUAGUGUCAAUUCUCUUGGUUAUAACUGGGAGUGGAAUUGCUGGGUCUUAUGGUAAUUCUGCAUUUAACUUUUUGAGGAACCAUCAAAGUGUUUUCCACAACUGUGGAAACCAUUUGACAUAAAAAUAUUUUCGUAUGUGUUUGCUGUGUGCAUGAAAAGUAUAUGUUUCUAUCCUAAAGGGUCCCCUUCCUCGUUCCAAAAAGUAAAAAAAUGCACUUAAGUGAGUUUUAACUUGGAUUUUCAAGGGCAAAUGUUAAAUAGGAGAAAAUGCCACUUAACAAAAUGAAGCAAUAAUUUUUAUACAAGCAUUAUAUACAUCUAUAUUUCAUUUCUCAAAAAUAUAUUUAUGACACAAAUAACUGGAGAGUGUUUUUAUUUCUAAGAAUAAAAAUUGGUAUUUAUUCAGUUUUAUUACCACUAAGAUUGUUUUGUCAAAAAAAGUUGAACUUCCCCUUUAGAAAAUAUUUCCAUUGCUGUGAAUAAUGAAAGUAGUUAUUUUCAACAUUAUAGAGCAUAUUGUGUUUUAAGAGAUGUAUCUAUAUUUAACAUAUACAAACUUUAAACCUAGGACAUAGCACCCCACUUACAAGUGAGAGUCUUCUGGAAGAGAAGAGAAACCUGACAGAAUUUUUUUUUAAGUACCAAGACUUGACUGUGAAGUAAUCCAGGCACAUGGCGUCAAUAAGGUGCUCAUUCAGGUGGAUCAAGCCAUUGGCCACAGAUCCCUGGUGAGUGUCCUCCGUGUGAUAACUUGCUUAUAUUUAAUAAUUUCUCCUAAAUUUGGUUUUACAGUUAUGAGUUGUCUGAACGUUUCAUGUGUCAAGAGGCCAAAGUGUUCCAGAAACCUAUCCAUUAUGCCUGCUAUUUUGUGAUUCAUUUUUUUUUUUUUUUAAUUUUUUUUUUUUCAACGUUUAUUUAUUUUUGGGACAGAGAGAGACAGAGCAUGAACGGGGGAGGGGCAGAGAGAGAGGGAGACACAGAAUCGGAAACAGGCUCCAGGCUCCGGGCCAUCAGCCCAGAGCCCGACGCGGGGCUCGAACUCACGGACCUCGAGAUUGUGACCUGGCUGAAGUCGGACGCUUAACCGACUGCGCCACCCAGGCGCCCCAGAUUCAUUUUUAUUAAACACCAGUUCUCUCUACUGUCCCUGAAUUACACCCACAUCAUCGCCAAUGGGAAAGACAUUCAUCUAAAGGCUGCAGAUUCUUGUCCUCUUACUAGGUUUUAGGUAUCCACAUCCUAAUCCCUGGAUCCUGAUAAUACGGUCUGUUACAGGUGAUGGGGAUUUAUGUUUGUAGAUAACAUUAAAUUUACUAAUCAGCUGACCUUAGGGAGCUUAUUCUGGAUUAUCUGGGUGGGUCCGGUGUAAUCACAAGGGUCCUUAGAAGUGAAAGAGGGAAGCAGGAGGGUGAGGGGCAAAGGAGAUGUGACAAUGGAAACAGGUCACAGGGAUGAGACGGACGUGACCAGCCAUUGCUGGCUCUGAAGACGGAAAGGAGACCAGGGGCCAAGGAAUGCAGGCAGCCUCCAGAAUCUGGAAAACACAAGGACACUGAAUCUUCCCCAGAGCCUCCAGAAGGAACACAGCCCUGCCCCCACUUUGAUUUUCAACAGUGAGACCCAUGUUGGAGAAUCAUGACAUAACAAAUUCCUGUUGGUUUUAAGCCACCAAGUUCUUGGUAAUGUGUUAUGGGGCUGGUAGGAAACUAACAUGCUAUUGUCAGAAGGGACCAAAAAAGACAUUGGGAGUUAAGACAGCAACGUCUUAAAUAGUGAAAAAUAAGAAAAGUUUUGAGACCGAUGAAUAUGUAUGCAUGAGAGAGUGGUGGGAAGAAUGGAUUUGUUUCAGGACUACAGGAGAAUCUAACUUAUUUGGAGUGGGUGGGGAGGAAACUGCAAAAUAGUCUUAAUUUUAAUGGUUUUUUAAAAGAAAAAAAGAAUUGCCUUUUUUUCAAUACACACAGCAGCAGGAGGAACUAUCAGAGGACAGGGCGAAGGAAGGACAAGAGAGGUUGAGCACUGACCCGAACGGCAUCCGUCCUUGCCCCCUUCCAGCAAGCUUUUGAGGACAUUGCCCAACAUUUCUGGGUCAGUUUGCUUUUGUGCAAAAUGUGGAAAAAACAUGCCCCGACGACAGUUUUUUUUUUUUUUUUUUAAGUUUCUUUAUUUUUGACAGAGACAGAGUGUGAGCAUGAGUUGGGGAGGGGCAGAGAGAGAGAGGGAGACAGAGAAUCUGAAGCAGGCUCCAGGCCCUAAACUGUCAGCACAGAGGCCAACGCGGGGCUCAAACUCACGAACUGUGAGAUCAUGACCUGGGCCGAAGUCGGACGCUUAACCUACUGAGCCACCCAGGCGCCCCUGGUUUUUUUUUUAAGUGUAUUUAUUUUUGAGGGGUGGGGGGAGGAGUAGAGAGAGGGAAACACAGAAUCCGAAGCAGGCUCCAGGCUCUGAGCUGUCAGCACAGAGCUUGAUGUGGGCCUCAAACCCAUGAACUGUGAGAUCAUGACCUGAGCCGAAGUCGGAUGCUUAACCAACUGAGCCACCCAGGCAUCCCCAUCCCUAACUACAGUUUUAAUGAGACUAUAUAUAUGGGGAUGGCCAAAACCAGUAUGGGAUGUAACAUGUACUUAUUUACAAAUGUCCAAAGUGAUAAGGGCCCAAUUAGCAAACGGUAGUUAUAAAUACUUGACAAAACAUUUUAUCCCAUGUUUAACACAUCUUUCAACUUUUUAUUCUCUUAAUUACUUAGAUGCUUCACUGAAAUGCCAACCUUACCUUUGUUGGCAUUGUCAUGAACUCCAACAGCAGGGUUGGGGAGAAGGAAGACCUCAGUGGGGUAGCCAGUAAGCAUGGGCUCGGCCUGCCGCAGUCCCCAAUCUCCUAGUCUGGGUCUCGUCCAGAGGCACGACUCUGCAGCUUUCUAUAAUGUUUCUCAGCAUUUCAGCAUGAGAGGGGGACAGUGUGGAGAAAGAAGGCUCACUUAGGACGUGGGUUUCAGACAGAAGACUCUACUUAGAAAAAAGGACAGAGCUGGCGGGAAAUCACAGCCUGAGUCUGGCUGGACCGCAGCUCUCCUCUCAUCCCUGGGAAUGAUGUGACCUGAGUCCCCAAAUCCAUCAGAGCUGUUUAAGAAUUAAAUGACAUGAUGAAUAUGAAAGCUCUUUGACCAAUAUAAGCCCAAGGCAGAUGUAUGUGAAUGUUUAGUGGUUGUCACAGUCAGACUGGGCUCCUGGAAUAAUACCAUACCAGGGGGUUUACAAAGAACAGAAAUUUAUUUCUCCCAGUUCUGGAGGCUGGAAGUCUGAGAUCAGCGUGCCAGUGCAGUGGGUUCUGGUGAGAGCGUCUUCUAGGUUGCAGACUGCCGACAUCUUGGUUUGUCCUCACAUGGUGGAAAGAGGGGGAGAGAGAGCUCUCUGGGGUCCCUGUAUGAAGGGCACUAAUCCCAUUCAUAAGGACUCCACUCUUGUGACCUAAUCACCUCCCAAAGGCAUUACCUUCUAGUACCAUUAUAAAGGGUGAGGAUUUCAACUCAUAAAUUUGUGGGCAGUGGGGGGCAGAGAGAUGCUACAAACAUUUGGUCCAUAACAAUGGUCUUUUAUGGUUGUAUCUCUUCUCUGUUAAAAUUUGUUUAUAGUUAUGAUGUUAUCCCCAGUGGAUUUCUGCCUCGCUUACAAGACCCUGAACCACUUAACUCUUCCCUAGCUGAUUCAUAUUAUUUUCCUUCCUUUCCAAAUCAUCUCCCCAGUCCAUUAGAUUUUCUUCCCUCCUCCCUCCUUCCAGUUGGUUCCACUUAAUGGCAUCCAGGAUACACUGAGCUGCCUCCUUCCCUCACUCAUCUACAUUUCAUUCAGAGAGUCGUCUCCAUGCCCUCAUCUACCCAUCCAGUCUCACCUUCAGAGUGUCCCCAGGGUACCCAGCCCAGUGAGGACCCCACUAAAGGGGUGUGAGUACUUCUUGACUGAAUAGCAAGAGGGAAGAUAAUGAUGACAAGCAGAGAGAGAGUAACAUUUAUCUUGUCACUGAUGACAGUGGCCUAUUAGAAAAAAAAAAAAAAAGCCUGGAAUUUCUUCUUUUGUUCUUUCUCUUUUUAGUUUGUUUUGCAUGAAAAUGAACAGUUUAUGUUAAUCUGCAUUUUCGCUGUUUUGUAGGUUGCUUAUACUUAUCCUGUUUUCUGUACAACACGUAUAUGCGGUAAGUACAUUAAUUAGCUCCGAUUGCAUGCAUUAUUCUUGUUAUAAGCCUUUUUGUCUGUGGGACUCAGUUUUCUCAUCUGUAAAAUGAAAGGCUGGACUAGGUGAACUCUAAGGUUUCUUUUCCACACUCAAAACUGCUUACCAAAUUGCCCAGGUAUUGGGGAUUUCUUCAUCGUGUAACAUUACCCUGUGUUAAAAUCUUUUUUUGAAGGGGGGCUGGAAGCGGCUGGCCUACUUCAAGAUUAAAUCAAGACAUACAGGAUUACAUGUGAACAUUUUAACUCUGGAGAAGGAUAAACCUAGAAUAUUCUGUAAUAAGAUCUCUGUCUUCUGCUUCCCACUGAGGAAUCUGAGUUAUUAAACCCAACCCCAGACAUUUCUGGGAAGUCACACUAUGGACUGCCAGUAACUCAGAUCUUGAGAUAACUGAACGGGUUAAGUCACCCUAGUGAGCACGUCCCCAUCUGACAUCCUCUCUGGCUUGGAUUUACCCAAUCCAGUUUCUGUUAUUUCAGUUAACAUGCGUCUUUUCAAGGCAAAUCAAAAUAGAGAGUUGCUUUCUGUUCUCCUUUUCCUACUGGUCAGGACCAGAGAGGAAUCAGAAGCUCUCCCCAAGUAGGAUGAUAUGCCGUGUACCACUUAGUCCCAUGCAUUUGAGAGCAUCAUCUGAAGUAAGAAUGGAAACACACUGAGAUAUGUGUCUGGAUUUCUUUUUACUUGAUUUCUCUAAGUUUAUUUUUGUAUUAUAUUCUCUCCCCCCCCACCGCCCCGUUAGAAGAGCCUACAGAGUCUUAAAUUUCACUUCCUUUGUUUCUUAUGUUCCAUACGUGGGAAAAAAAAUUCUUGAAACAAAGACUCAUCUAGCCUGGACCCUCCUAUCAGGUUGUGCUGUGCAGAGAUAUUAGAGAUUUCACACCAAAGUUGCGAUACUAUAGUUGUCUUUUAAAGAUAGUGAUAUAAAUUGAUGCAAAAGUUAUGGGAGGCAAUUUGGCAUUAUCCUUCAGAAUUUCAAAUGCGUAAUCCUGUUGACCCAGGAAGUUUCCUUUUGGGAAUUUAUUAUAUAUGUUUAUACUGACUUGCGCAUAAAGAAAACACACAAAAAUAUUGUAGUGUUUAGUAACGAAGGGAGGUAGCUAACGGCCCAUCAAGAAGGACAGAUUAAACAAGUACUUCAUGUGAGGAAGAGCGAUUCUAUUAACUUGGAAUGACUUUGAAGGCAUCUAAGUGAAGGCAGCAAGGUACACAGAAAUAUACCAUUUGGGUAAAAAUAAAACAAGAUUCAAAUCACCAAAAGUGUGUGUGUGUGUGGGUGUGCGUGCGUGUGUGUGUAUGUGAGUGUGUGCAUAUGUGUUCCUGGUAUGAAAGUGCUCAUAACUACCCAGAAACAGAUUGAGGAGAGUGAUUGCCUCUAGGUGAGGGAAUGGGAGGGCCUGGGCUGGAAAAGAAAAUUUCUUUCCCCAUUAUACUCUUUGGCCCUGUUUGAAUUUUUUAUCAUAUGCAAAUGUUGUUUUUCAAAAAAAGAAAAUAGAGGUAUGAAUGUAGGACCAGUUAUUAAUCUAGAAAUUAAUAACGUACCUCAUAAACAUUUUAUUCAACAUACGUUUGUUUAAAAAAUAUCUGGGCUAAAACAGGAACUUUUCUUUUUUUUCCUCUUUGAAGAAUGACAUUAGUUUUGGAGAACGUCAGUGUAUUCUGGUGAAUAUGGUUUAUACUUUGAAUGUUGCCUUGGUGUGAGCCGUAGUAUUUAUCUUUUUCAAAUGGGUUCAUACAGUCUGUUUUUGUGGCACAUAUUUUCCCUCUAUGAAUGCCUCCCCUAAAGUGGUAUUUAUUGGGCUAUAUCUAACGUACAAAAACUUCUUAGAGCCUAAAAUUACCUCUUGCUUUUUUCUUUUAUCAGUACCAAAGCUUUAUAUGUGACUAUUUCUGUUUUUUUUUAAUUAGAAUCUGUUAAUUUAUUUUACACCAAUUCUUUCCUGAAAUGUAAUUUUCAGAUUCUACAAACAUCUCUGUGAUGGUUGGCACAAUUAAGAAAAAAAAAAACAAUAAAAGAACAAACUUGUCUUUAUUAUCAAGCCAGCUAAUCAACUGACCUUCUUUCUCUGGUUGUUUUGAUAUUUCACUGAACACAUAGUAAUGAGUCCCCGCCUUAAAUGAACCCAAGUAUUCAGACCAGUUGCUUUAAAGUGUUUUCAUGAUGUCCUGGACCUGGGCAUUUAACCUUUUUUUUUUUUCGUCACCUUAUCAGAGUUUUGAACUUGAUGGUUCUGCAUUCAUAGAUAACAAUGUGACUCAAAACUCAAGAGGCAUCUGUUUUGGAAACUUCAAAUACAGUUUUUUUUUAACUUAACUCUUGUAAAGGUUCACAUUCUUAUAUACUUUCAAUGACUCUAAAGAAUUUUGUUUAUAAAAAUGUCUUUUUUUAAUUAAUGCUUAAUUUAAAUAUUUUUCUUUUGGGAUGUGUCUGAGCAUAUUUUUUUUUUUCUAGAAAAAAGAGGUCUAAGUUGUGUGACUGAAAAAUAAAUACAUUCGGGAUAGAUCCUUUUUCCUCCCAUACACAUACUCAUAUAUAUGUGUAUGAUUACACAUGUGUGUAUUCAUAUGUACACCUGCUUGUAUGUCCUUCCAUGCAUACUUAUGUACAUUGGUGUGUAGGUAUACAUAUUUGUUUUCCAACUGAACUGUAAGUGUUGGUUCAAAUGUUACAUGUUUCCCCAUUAUGCUUUGGUGCGAAGACUCAUGUUUAUAGCCUUGAAUGUAAAAGAUCUAUCAGUCAUAGAAAUGUGUGGGUAAUAUAUAAGUGUUACAGUGAGGGCUGGACCAGGCAAGAUCAUGAACUAGGCGAAGUAUGUCCCUGGUGCCUUUCUGAUAUUCCUGUCCACACUCUCAGCUCGUAGCAUCUAGAGCUGUUUUUGCCACUAGUUCUUCCCAACCCACCGCCCCAGGCUCUGAAGGAAUGGUCAGUGUUCAUUGUCAUUGUCACUGCAGGUGCAUCAUGGUGGCUGUUUUGUUGUUAAGGGAUCUACUUAUGGAAACAGUUAUUCUGGGAUUAUGCUUUUGUAUUGAUGUGACAGAUGACUCUGGAUAUAGACAAUGAGGAUUUGUGAGAACAAGGGCCUGAUUCUUCCUAAAGAGCGUGUGUGUGUGUGCAUGUCUGUGUGUGUGUGUGUGUGGUGUGUGUGUGGUGUGUGUGUGUGUGUGUGUGUGUGUGUGUGUGUUUGGAAGAAGCAUGAAAGUUAAGAAAACAUGUGAAUGUGGAGAAACUCUCUAAAGAGAAUGUUGGAGAGAGGUUAGCGAGAAGUGGGGAAGGGCUCACCUUAUUCAAGUUCAGGAGCUUUCUGGUUGAGAGACACAUUAGAGGAACCAUCUUGGAGUUUUAGCAGUUUGCAGGAAACAGUUUUCGUGUGAAAAUCCAACGCUGUGACGGGAGCAGUGACCAGGAAGGACUUGAUGGUGCUGGAGGGGAAGCAAGAGCGUCCCGAAAAGCAGCCAAGUUUAUAAUUGAAGUGAGACACCAUUGUGUCCUUACAGUUUUCCUAAUCAUAUAGUUUACACUCUAAGAUUGUUCACAACUUAGUAAAUGAGGUCUUGCCAGGAGAAGGACAUCACAGAAGAUUCUUGCUUAAAAAAAAAAAAAAAGUGGCCUCAGAAGGGAGCUUUUUUUAAUGCCAGCUCACAUAAACUUUUAUUUUUCUCACACUCUUAUCGAGCCACAAUGGAAGUUCUUUGCCUUUUUAUGUAUCAACAUGAGUGUUUUCUUUUCAAGGUUUCCAAGGUAAAGGUAUACUGUGGAAUUCCCAUCAGUUAGAUAAACCGAGAUGCUUGUUAUAAGUUAAAUAUCAUGUACCCAGCUAAGCAAAGAAUACCAGUUUACUAAACCAGAUGCUUCACUUUCCAGAGUGGAAAGAAGUUUAUUGGGCCUUGCGGAGGAAGAGAUUGCUCAGUUUGCCAGUGCUUUCCUGCAAAAGGGUCUCGGGUAAGUGAUGUAAAAAUCAGUAUGGGCAGUGGGAGGAAGAAAUGGGGAGUUACUCAUCAACGGGCAUAAAGUUUUGGUUAUGCAAGAUGGGUUAGCUCUAGAGAUCUGCUGUAGGAUGUCUACCUAGAGUCAACAAUAAUGUCAUGUUCACUGAAACAUUGGUUGGGAGCAGGGGCACCUGGGUGGCUCAGUCGGUUAAGCGCCCAACUUCGGUCAGGUCAUGAUCUCACAGUUCAUGAGUUCAAGCCCCGUGUCUGGCUCUGUGCUGACAGCUCAGAGUCGGAAGCCUGCUUCAGAUUCUGUGUCCCCCUCUCUCUCUGCCCCUCACCCGCUCUCUCUCUCUCUCUUUCUCAAAAACAAACAUUAAAACAUAUUUUAAAAAAUUGGUUGGGAGAGCAGAUCUCAUAUUAAGUGUCCUUACCACAGUAAAAUGUUAGGAAAAAAGUCAACAUGGGCAGCAUGUUGAAAUUUGAGCCAUUGUGAAUACUUAACGUUAAGUAGUCCCAGAUUCUUAGCAUGUUCUGAUAAUUGUCAAUGUUUCUGUUUUACAGUCAAAGUUCUGUACAUUCUGAUAAGCCAUCCCAGUUGUAUUACACUAGGCAUCAAGCUUAGAAGUGCAAGCUGCGAUUUACCCAAUGUUUCAUACCACACUAAUCUUGUGAACUGCCUUAUGCAAAAAGGGUCCUGUGCCAAAUGGUACAUGCUAGGUCGCCAUCUUGAAACUCAGGUUGCAUAUCAGCAUUGUUUUUUAAUGUUUAUUUAUUUUUGAGAGAGAGCAAGACACAGAGUGAAGCAGGGAAGGGGCAGAGAGAGAGAGAGAGAGAGGGAAUCCUAAGCAGGCUUGAGGCUGUGAGCUGUCAGCACAGAGCCCAACACAGGGCUUGAACCCACAAACCGUGAAAUCAUGACCUGAGCCAAAGUCAUGAGCCAGGUGCCCCAACAUAUAAGCAUUUUAAAGGCUCUGAGAAGUAGUGUAGUGAGGCAGGGGAAACCUGGUUUAAACUUAUCUAAAGUGGUAUAUCCAGACAUUGGACUACAAGACUCUUUUUUGGAUAGCACCUAUUGAAGUCACAUGGGCAUAGUGUUCUGUAUGCAUCUGUUGUGCAUGGCUGCAUUUCUUGUGUGCUUCUUAUGUGCCGCACACCAUCUGUGUUCUCCAAACGCCUUAGGUCCCGGACUCCUCAUGACUACUCUCUUACUAUCUCAGCGUGCCGACUUUGCAAGGCAGAAGAUCAAAGCUCAGAGAGGUGUAGCCUGUUACUCAAGUCCACCCAGGACGGGUCUCUGGGUGACUACACUACGUUCUCUGUCCCCGCAAGGCACAAGAGCCCUCUUGGCUACUGUAGGCGGGUCACUUGAACAUUUAUGGACCUCUGUCUCCCUUAUAUUCUGAUAGCAGCAGCUGGCGGCCCACCCGCUCAUUUGUGCUGGCGUAGUAGAUCGAACAAUUCUUUGGAUUAAAAAUACGCCCGCCAUCUUACAAGAAAAGAGGAACUUGCUUUAGAAACUUUGGACAGUUUUUGAGUCAGAUCAGUGAUUCUGCUGCAACAUGUUUCCAUCGAUUCUAUAGGGAGUAACGCUCAAAAAGCACAGUUCAGGGAUGACCAGUCUACAAGGAGGCAAGACCUCUCCUGAGGGAAGGGGCCAUAUAUUUCUCCCAUAGCUUUGCUUUCUCUCUGCACGAUACGUGUGCAAUAUGUAAGGGGCUCCUGUGUUGAGCUCUCUUCCUGAAACCAGCUAACUUUCAGAGCAUGAAUUAUGGCAAAUCCCCUCCUGCUUAAACUGCAUUGUUUCUUUAAUACUUCAAAAACUUUGGAGCUCAGAAUUUAUCUUAAGGUUUUUCUUUUCCUUUAAAAAAAUUUUUUUAAACUGCUUUUUAAGUUUAUUUAUUUUGAGAGAGAGAGGGCAAGCAGGGCAGAGGCUGAGAAAGAGAGAGAGGAGAAUAAGGAUCCCAAGCAGGCUCUGCACUAUCAGGACAGAGCCUGAUGCGGGGCUCAAAUUCACGAACCUUGAGAUCAUGACCUGAGCCAAAGGCAGACGCUUAACCGACUGAGGCACCCAGGUGCCCCUGUCUUGAGAUUUGUCAAGCUGCUUUCAUGACAUGACUCAAAAAAAAGAGGUGCAAACUUCUAGUUAUAAAAUAAAUAAGUCCCGGGAAUAUACUGUACAGCAUGAUGAAUAUAGUACAUAAUACUAUCUGGUCUAUUUGAAGGUUAUUGUGAGUAGAUCUUAAGAGUUAUCAUCACAAGGGGGAAAAAAAAGUUACUGUGUGAGGACAGAUGCUAACUAAACUUAUCGUGGUGAUCACUUUGCAAUCUAUACACAUAUCAGAUUAUGAAACUAAUAUAACGUUUAUAUGUCAGUUAUAUCUCAAUAAAAAUUCUUUAAAAAGUAAAGACACUAAAAGCUAGCAAUCUAAGAAGUGCCUUUUUCACGUAUAUGUAUGCUUUAUUCAGGGUUGGGGGGGAAAGCCUGGCUUUCCUGUGAUUUAAAAAAAAAUUAUUUUAAUGUUUAUUUAUUUUUGGGAGAGAGAGACAGACAGAACAUGAGCAGGGGAGGGGCAGAGAGAGAGGGAAACGCGGAAUCUGAAACAGGCUCCAGGCUCUGAGCUUUCUGCACAGAACCAGACGGGGCCGAACCCACAAACUGUGAGAUCAUGACUUGAGCCAAAGUCAGAUGCUUAACUGACUGAGCCGCUCAGGUUCCCCUCCUGUGAUUUUUAAUAUAAACAUACCAAGAUUGUAUAAAUGAGAAAGAAAUCAGUGCAUCUAAAUUUUAAGACCCUUUGAGUUUGAGACCCAAGAAAAAUGGAUCAGCUUCUUGAGAGGAUGCUAAUGGGGGCAUCACAAAACAAAUGGGAACAGUUGCUUGGAUAAGGCUCUGAUGUAAAUAAGCCCGAGAAUUGUUUUGGUCGGGACAUCUGGCGAGGUCUAGAGACAUUUGUUGGUUGUCACAACUGGAUGGGGGAGGGGUGCUACAGUAUCUCGUGGGUACGGGCCAGGGAUGCAGUUCGGCACCCCCAACGCACAGAACAGCCCCCCACACCAAAAACUUACCUGUGCUGAGUGGACAAACCCUGCUCUCCUCCCACAACAGCUCUGUGAGGCUGAUGGGGUUAAUAUUUUCAUCUUUCAAUACAAGGAGCCUGGAUUUCCACGAGUUUUAAUAACUCACUCGUAUGUGGAAGAGGUGGAAACCCCACCCCGGUGUCUGACUUCGGUUUUAGCAUUUGGCCCGUGAUCAUGAACAUCGGUGCCUGCACACUCACAUUCAAACACCAGACCGUCGUCAUAACCUUGUGAACUCGGGCGGGUGCUUCGAGCUGCCCAAGCAUUCGUUUCCUGGUAUUUACACCACGAGUGCUUUCUCUUCUGUUUCCUCGGGUGUUCCGCAAUCACGAGCAAUGCACCUUGCGUCCCCUAACACAGUCUCCAGUGCCGGGGGUGACGAGGGCUCAGGGGAUAGACUGCACUCUGUGGUCUGGGUCCCUGUUGCUGGGUGGUCGGGCAGAACAGAACGCGGAGCGCUGGUCAACCUUUGCCCUUUCCGAGACAGAUGGCUCCCACAUGAAGGCUGCAAGUUGCUGGCAGCGACGUCCGGCUGGGAGUUUGGGAGCUUGGCUUGCGCAUAACUGCCAGGUGGCGUGGGAGGUGGGUGCUCCCAAGUACUCAGCAAGCAGCCAACUCACAUACCAUCUCGGGAGCUGCAGUGACAGCUCGAGGGGGUCUAGAGAGACAGGAAUCCACGCAGUCCCGGAGGGUCGAGGAUCCGCCCGAGACGGUGCAGCCUGCUAGUGGCUCAGCCAGGCAUUCCUAAGAAGGAAAUGAUUCCCCCUUUAGGGGUUCAUGCCUGAGUGAGUCGUUUAAGCCCCAAAUCAAAACUGCUGUCUCUGGAUCGACGCUGGCCCUGUGCAGUGGAACGAUGGGGUUGGGCUUGGAACUCUAGACUCAGGCUGGAGCCUGAGGUACAGCUGGGGUGCAUCUGAGGCAGGGAGCCAAGGGGGGGUCCUACACUUCUGACGGAGUGAAGUUCAGCCUCAUCAGUGCACCCCGGAGGCCCGCAGUCUGGCCGAACCAUGUGUUUCCACCGGCGUCAACACGCUUCCCCUUUGCGCCUCUCCUGCUGCAUCACGUGGGCCAUCGGCUCUCCCUGGAGCGUAAUCCGAAUAUUCUCGCUUGCCUCCCCUUUUCCGGGCUGUCUUCCCACUUCUGCUCUGCCUCUGUUUCUCCUGCCCUCCCCAAGGAGCUCGGUGGAGACUCCAGCUCUCCCAAAGCAUUCCCCUCCCUGCCGCAGCUCCUCCCAGCCAGUGCUGAGGCCCCUGGCAGGACCCUGGGCCCCUUCCCUUUACUGCUUGCACCCCGGCCUGUAUCUCUGUUUGGGUGUGAGCGUCGGUGCACACGACCCUCUUCACGAGAUUACGAGCACACACCCUUCAAGGUCGUCACGUGGACACCUGGAAAAUGCUUCUGCUGGCUCCUGGUCCGCAGUGGAAACAUAGCAGGCGGUUAGUGCACAUAAAUCAAUACGUGAAAACUAAGUCUCCAGCGUGGGCAGGACUGGGAGCCUGAGCGGGUGGCCACGCUGGCCUGUAGCGUGCUUCCGGGGAUACCUGCCACAUCUAAGAGAAGCGGGGAGCAGGGUUAGUAGGGAGUCUCCCACCUCAGUCUUCCCCACCCUCACCCGCACACGCAUUGUUGAAACCUGUUAUUAAAUGUGCAAUCUCACCUAAGCUCAAAUUCCCAUGUGGUUUCAAGUAGGGCCAGAGAGAAGUAUUUUGAACAGUGCCAUUAAACAGUCCACGAGCAUCCUCGAAAGAGCUCCAGUCGAGGGUAGGAGACUGGAACCCCUGUGCCUUCUUUCUGGUUGAGAGCCUCAGGUGAGAAAUAAGGGUUUAUCCUAUCUGGCUCGUUCUGUUCCUCCAGGCUCUAACAGCCUCCGGUUCUGUGAGGUAGGCAUGGCCGUUUGCAUAUAGCAGCUAUUCAGUUGCCUUCCAAAAUAUUUUGCAGCUAUGCCCUGACAUUUCCCCUAACCUCCUAAUAGUCCCUCUUUGAGGAUAUGAAUGAGGUUGGCACUGGCUGAGAUUUUAAGAUUUUCUUUGCCAGUUUCAGUGAAGGAAUCUUCAGGUUUUUGAUGGUUGUCUCCUUGCAGGGAGAAUUAUGUGUCUUUAUAGACUAGACUUGCAGGGAGAAUUAUGUGUCUUUUACAAGCUCCAUUGGAGUAACUAGCAUGAUGAUAAAGACACGUUCUGUAGCAUUUUCCAGAAUCAAAUAGAAAAUGUCCAUAUUUUUCAUUGAAUGGAGUCUACCAACUAUUAAACUGUUAACUGUUCUAUUAAGAACUGUAUAAUUUGACUUUUAUGCAAAGAAGCCAAAUAGUGUAAAACCCAAGACCUGUUUGUUUUUUUUUUUUUUUUUUCCUUCCUGGUUUGAAAGCUGAAAUCACACAUUAGCAAAUCAGUGUUUCCUUGGGGAAGUUUAAGUCACUAAAAAAAAUGCACAAGUAUUUUCCCCCACAAUCUCAUUCAUUUGUCCCUCAUGCUCCUAAGAGCCAGCGUUCCAUGAUAAAAAUGGAAUUUACUUGGGACAUUUUAAUUAUUAACAUUUUUAACCAUUAAAUUAUUUGCACACAAAGUUCCAGAACCCGAUCUCUUUAUCCCUCACACAGCUGUAUUCUAGUAUAGUCUAUAACUGUGAAAGAGUCUAUAACUGAUAAAUGGUACAGAGCAAUUCUUCUGAGGUCCCAAAGCACACAUAAGUCAAUGAUGUUGUAUUUUGGUGGAAGCAGAGUCCAAUGACAAGUGACAAAUUUGAUCUGUCAUCCACCCCCUUAGAGUUUUGGUUCUGCUUUAUUUUUCUUCCACAUCUUUCUCCUCCAAAGACAAACUCCCCAGCUCAUUUUGUCUCUGCUGGAGAGUUCUCUGAGUAAUGAAGCCCUGCCUGAGACUCAGGUGCUUUCCAAGGACACCCCCAGCGAGGGGCCCUGGGACGGGACGUCCGCCUUGGGGACUGUGGGGAGCUGGACAGGGCAUUUGUCGUGCAAAGGCAUCCGAAUCCAGAGUGGGAGAAAACACAGUGCCUACUGACAAAUCUCCCAGUAGAAUUUAGCCCACCAGCUGCCAGUUUCCAACUUGGGCUUUGCUUGUCAAAGCGUUCCCCGGUCAGGAAUAUUAACCUUGAGUUCUGAAGAAUGAAAAACUUGCAAACGUUAAAAGAAUGGAUCUUCCCUGGCAGGUGCUUGAGGAAGUAGUUCCAAACAGGGUGUGGGAAACCUGGACGUGCCCAUCACUCUCUACUAUCUGGCCUAUUAAUAAUCAUGGUCGUAGAACUAACCAGUGGUAGCUCGUAUUGGUACGGAAGGAUGACUCCAGCCGCUAACAGGGCUUUCGGUAGGCUGACAGAGCUCUCGCUCUAAACCUAGCAUUUGUGCUUCAGAAGGAAGGAGGGAAAACAAGCUCUAUUUGCCUACUGUGUUGUAGAAUGUGUUGUUUUUGCAACCAGGCCAGGUGUCCCGAGCCUCACCAGGGAAUCCUGGUGACAGUUUGGGUCUGGUAGGUUUUGGCGUACCUGCCCUGAUCAGUCAUCUCAUUAAAUUGCCAGUGAUUUGCAGCACAGCCUUUGGCCUCCUCAUGUGGAGUUCAAUUCCAUGGCAACGACGUUUGCUGAACUCUGCGACCCAGCAUGAACUGAGGCCAGGCGGCCGCAGAGCUCAGCAAAUGUGGGACUACGCUGAACUUGAGUGGAUCAAGGUCAUUACCAAAGGGGAGACAGUCUUGUUGUUGGUGAGAACUCAGGGCUAGCAAUGCAGGUGCAUCCCGAAGCAGGGCCUAUGGCCCACAGGAAAAUGGGAAACAGUAUUCGUGGCUCUAGAAAACCUCUCUAGUGCAAGGUCAACACCUGACAGACUACAUUAAUUAAAAUGCUGAUUUACAAAGAGAGUAAAAAUAGAUUUUUUUCUUUCAAACACCACAUUCAGUAAAUUGCCACGAAAUCCACAGGGAACAACCAGAUCUCAGAGGUGCUAAGUUUUUCACUCCUCUGUCAUAUAAGCUUAUCUGCAGUUCUUUCAGCAAAUGACCCUUCAUUCAUUCCCUCCAUUCAGCAAAUGGCCAUUGAGCAUUUGCCAUGUGCCUGGCAUUGUGAGGCUCCGGUGAUCCAGAAUGAAGUCCUUGUGGCCUGGAGCUCAGUGUCCAGCAGGAGAUUCACCUUCUGGUCAUUGUUUCUGGGUGCCUGAGGAGUGCCGGGCACUGUUAGGAGCUUGCGUCCUUGCUGUGUCCCAGGGAUAAUGUGGUCCCCUAACUCGGUUUCAUAUGGGAGCCUGGGGGUAGGGGGCAGGGCGGAGACAGCAGUGGAAUCAGAGGCCACCUAGUGAUGGCCUGAAAGCCUGUUGUGUCAGUGCCUCGGCUGCCAUAAUGAAGUGCCAUGUGCUCAGUGGCUUAAAACCACAGAAAAUAUUUUUCUUGCACAUUCUAGAGCCAGAAAUGCACAAGCAAGGUGUCACCUUUACUGUACUUCUGCUCCAGCAGAGGCUCCUUCUCUGCCUCUCCUAGCUUUUGGUGGCCACGAGCUUUCCCUGACUGACGGCCCUGUCACUCCAGUCCCCGCCUCUGUCUUCGCACCGCCUUCUCUUCUGUGUCACAUCUUCCUCUGCGUCCCUCUCACAAGGGUACAUGUAAUGGCAUUUAGGGCCCAUGCCGAUAACCUGAGAUAACCCCCUCCUCUCAAGGGCCUUAACUUUAGCACCUCUUUUGCCAUCUCACGAAUGGCACGAAUGUCCACGAAUCCCUGGGGUUAGGACGGGGACACGUCUUUUUGUAGCCACCAUUCGACCUACUGCAAAUGUCCGGGCAGAGAGAACAGCCUCCAUGCAGACCCUGGGGGAGAGCCUCCAUUCAGACCCUGAAGUGAGAAGGAGGCAGGCUGGCGUGUCUGAGGGACUGGAACGUGGCCAGAAAGAUUUGGUUGGAGUAGGUGAGGGGGCAGGUGACAUGAGGUGCAGUUGGAAAAUCAGACACAGGUCCUUCAGUCUAAGAAGGAAGGCUCUGAAGGAUCUUAAGAAGGGUGGAAGCAGGUUGGAUUUAUGGUAUAAAAAGAUCAUUCUGGCUGCUGUUUGGAGAACAUGGUGUGUGUACGUUGGGGGGCAGUGGUAGGGAAAACCUGUCAGGGGGCUGCUGCAGUCGCUCAGGUGGAAGGUGAGAUUGCUUCGUGGGGGGGGGGGGGNGGGGGGGUGCGUGAAGAGGUGGGGGGAAGCAGGUGCUUGAAGAGGUGGGGGAAUGUUUGGGAGGCAGGGUUGAUAGGAGCGAGGGUGACAGUGGAGGUAGGCGGGCAUAGUGUGUACAGCUGUGUGGGCAGUGGUCUCAGACACACGGGGGGGAUGAUCGUGUGUCUACAAGUCCCAUUUUGGGUUUGUAGAGCCAGAGGUCAACUGAAUAUGGUCAGGGCUCCAAAGAGAAGUCUGGGCUAGGGAGGAAAGUGGAGGGGUUGGUUGUUCAGCAUUGGAUGCCAUUAACUCCAUGGAAAAGGUCAAGUUUGCCCAAGAGAAGGUGAGAAGAGGCCAGGGCAGUCCUGUGGGGAAUCCCCCCCACCAGGAGGAAGGGGGCCGGCACGGAAGACACAGGAGAAAGACAUAGAGAGGGCAAGGGGCAGGGACACCAGGAGAACAGAGCCAGGAAGAGGAAGCAAGGUCCAGCUGGUUCUGGCUCCGCCGGGAGCCUACCCAGACCUCUCCACGCCGCCUCGUUCAGUUCCCACGGCAGAUGUGUGAUGUUGGGCUGCUCUUACACCAUUUUUAAAAAUGGGAAAACCACUCUGUGAUGACCAGGUUCAAGACGUGACUUUAUUUAUUGCUCAGGGGCAAAGCCCUGUCUUCCGGUUCUCAGAGCCGUGCUCUUUCCACUGUGCCAUGCAGCCUCUUGGGAACACAGCUGCAAAUCCAGAGUCAGUGUCACUCCAGGCUAAAUGGGCCAGCGGACGCUCUCAUUGACAGGUGAGGUGAUCUUAAGGUACAAGAAAAUACUCUGCCACAACAGUCUGGUCUCCUUGGACUUUCUACUCCUUGAGUAACACUUUUUUGUUAUUUAUUUUAAUAACCCUUCAUGUUAUCCAUUAGUUUUUCCCGUUAUAGGUAGGGAGAGACCUUGGAGGCACUCAGUUAAAGGAUUUUAUGCUACCCGUGUAGUCCUCUUGGAGGGUUUAAGUAAUGUUAUGGUGUCGCCUAGUGGAUGAAUCUCUGAAUUACAGCCAAGCAUUAGAAAGGCAGGAAGGGCGACGCUGAACUGUUCAUUUUAAUUAUAAAAGUCUUAAUCCAUUCAGUACUCUCCGAGUUCAUGUUUAGAAUAUAUACCACACAAGGCGGUAGCCAAGGUCCUGGGUAGUAAUAAAAUGUGCACGGAUCCCUGACCCCAAAAAGCUUACCAGAAGACAUCACCCCAAGCAGAUAUUAAUUAAAGUAACAUGCGUGAAACAAUAAUGAAAAAUAGGUGAAGAGUCUAUUUAGGUGGUAUUUUAGGGUGGACAGGAGAGUUCUUCCGAGAGUGAGAUUGAUCAGGACUGGGGUAAAAGAGAAGCAGCAACUGAAGUCAGGGGACCUGGGUUCGAAUCUCUGUUUCCCCAGGUGAUAAUCAGUGGCCUCUGGUCACUGGCUUCAUCUCUCUGAGCCUCAGCUUCCUUGUUUGGGAAACAGAAAAGUAGAAACAGGGUGACUUUUUUUUCUUUAAAAAAAUUUGUUUUUAGUUUAUUUAGAGAGACACAGAGACCGUGCUUGUGAGGGGAGGGGCAGAGAGAGGGAGACCGCGAAUCCCAAGCAGGUUCUGCACUGUCAGCACAGAGCCCCACGCGGGGCUUGAACCCACGAAACCGCGAGAUCAUGACCUGAGCUGAAACCGAGUCGGAUGAAUGCUUCACCAACUGAGUCACCCAGGCGCCCCCCACGGGUGACCUUAUGGAUGUAAGGAUCCCGGGAGUCAGUGCCUAGAACAACUGCUCAGGGAAUGGUAGCUGCUGCCAUUGGUACCAUCACCACCAUCAUGGUUUUGAGAAGGUAGAAUAGGAACUACCGAUGGAGAAAGGCUGCCAUUGCUUCAGGCAAAUAGGAGGCACACGUGUGAUUGGAGCAGAAGGAGGAGGUGUGGAAAUUACAGGGAGUAGGGUUGGCUGGGGUAGAGGAAGGCCGACUGUCCCCAUUGCAGAGGGUGAUGAAAGCAGUGACACAGGCAAGAGAAGAUCGCAGGGGAGUUGACAGUUGUAUGUGGAUGUGGGUAGAAGCCUGGAAUGAAGGAAGAGAGGGAGGCUGGUGCUUGGGUGACCCACAUGAGAUGACAAGACCACGACAGCGGAUGGAUUCCUCUGCAGGGAGAUGACAGUAAGACAGACACGUGAGAUUCAAGUUAAGGGAGGUAUGACAGCCUUGGCCAAGGGUGGACAUGGAGAGCCGCAUGGUGAGCUCACAUGAAGGAACAAAGUUGCCACCUGAUGGGUCUGGGGACAGGAGUGGAGCGCGGGGAAAUGAUGGGAAUGAUGAGCUGAGUUCUGACAUGAUGAGUGCGAAUUAGUAGAGGAGGAAGGUUCAAGAAGGUGUCUAGAAAAUGGUUGGACGUAUAGGGCAGGACUAGAAAAUUGGACUUGAGAACGACAGAAAUAGAGGUCUUUAAUUAAUUUGAUGAAUACUAUUAUUUCCUGAAGAAACUUUAUAAAUAAAGAACACAGAAUACAUUAAGAUAUGAAGUUUAAAAACAAGACAAGGCCUGAAGCAAUGGACGUGUCGCAGCAGGCACGGUGUGGGGAUGGUUUAGUGCAUGGGUCCUCCCCUCUGCCAGGCUGAGGCAGUGGGAAGAGGAGAGGUUUGGGAGAGCCCCUGACUGAUGCAGGUUUGAAUGCAAACUCACUAGGUAUGUGAGUCUGAGCAAGUUAUACCCCUGAAUAAGACUUUUCUCAUCUAUACGGGGGAUAAUAAUUCACGUUUCUCAGUGUUGGUGGCUGGAUUAAAUGAAGCAAGGUAUGGAGAGUGGUGGGCACACAAUGAUCACAUGAUGGUCACUGGGCACUUUGAUGAUCACCUUCACGGUCUUAGAGACCAAGGGUGAUUUGGAAGUGUAUGUGUCAUUAGUAUAAUAAAAGCACCUUUCAUAUUCAUUUAUUCAUUAAUGAAGGAGGAAAGGAACAAACAUUUAUUUAUACUUCUUUGCACUGAUUGAACUUCUGGUUAGGCAGGAGCAGGAAGCUGUCGCAGGGAAAAUGUGACAGGAUAUGUAUUUGCAGUCGUCUCUCUGAACUUAUUUCUCCCAAUUCUCAUACUGCUAACAUGACAGAGGGUUUCUUAGCUUUUUGUCAUUCCCUAAAGGGUCUGGUCCCUGGCAGCGAACACAUCCGGGGCAGCCCAAAAGGCUGAGUUGAAGAUCUUGGUAUUGGCCGUGUACAUAUUCUCCCGUCUGUUGGUGCGGUUCUACCAAGUUGUGAAAUAAAAGCAAUUUGAUCUUAGACCUGCUCAAGAGCCGUGCCUGAUACAGAUGACUAACAAGUGACAGAAUGCUGAAGGAAUGCCCCAGCUCCAGAGGGUGGGGUGACUGUCCACUGUGAUCACCUUCAUCCUCUAUUUGUACAGCUGGCCCGGGAGCUUACUGUUCUGUGGCCUCAGUCGGAGCACACAUAGCACGUCUGAUGACACGGUGUCAGCCUGGGCUUUGAGGAGGAAGAAGGGGAUGGCUUGUGGCAUCACACAGCGUGCCAGAGUUUCCUCAGCUGGCAAGAUGAUUGUCAUUUCUGGAUUUGGUGCAUCUUUUCUGAUUUCACGGUCUCUGGCUGAAAGUUGUGAGACACAGAGGCAGUUCUGUGUACAUAGAAGAAAGGAAGGGAGGAAGGAAGGAAGGAAGGCAGGCAGGGGGGAGGAAGGAAGGAGGGAAGGAAGGAAGGUAGGAAGGAAGGAAGAAAGAAAGGGAUAGGAAAGGAAAGGGAAGAGAAAAGAGGAAAGAAGAAAGAAAAGAAAGAAAGAGAAAGAAAGAAAGAAAGAAAGAAAGAAAGAAAGAAAGAAAGAAAGAAAAAGAAAAAGAAAGAUCAGUAGAUAGAUCAGGGAAAACUACAUUUGAAAAUAAGGCAUUCAUUCCACUGGGCUUUUUUUUUUUUUUACUACCCUGAAGCCAAUGUAUAUCAUGUUAUUGUUCAUGGUUGGAGGGUGCAUAGUUAGGAAGAAAAGAUUUCUUUAAAAAAUUUUUUAAAGAUGCCAAAUUCUUUUGAUUAUUUAAUGAAUCUCUUGUUAUAGAAGUGUCUCUUAUGGGUUUGUUAUUUAAGUCUGUUGAUCCUGAAGUUAAUUCCACUAUAGCCUUAUAAAUAAGUAAGCCCAAAUAUUUACUUGUAAACAUAGUUUUGUUUUUUUUUUUAACUGACCCCUUCUUUUAUAUGAAACAGUUUAAGGAUAUUGGAGUUAUUCUCUAUGUUGCUGUGGAUAAAUAAUUUACUCAAAUUGGGUGAACUAGCAAUGACUAUUUCAGAGAUUGGGGUUUGGAAAAAUUUCAUGAGUAGCUUUCUGAUAGGUUUAAUACUGUGAUACAAGGUUUGGUGUAUUUCUUUAAAAAAUUUAUCCUAUAAGGAAUUACCUGUUAAUAUGAGAACAAAAAACACAGCACUCCGUAUAAAAACAAACCACAGCUUUCCCCAGCAUCUGUAAAUAAGUAGGCAUUUAAUAUUUUAUGCUAGCUUUUCCACGUGCAAAGUAGAGGUUAUUUUGCUGUUGAAAUGAAGGCACGGCAAAACCCGUGUUGUAUCUCAACAAGAAGAUGUGAACAUCGCUGUGUUUAGGGCCAUUGCUCACGGUGUGGGGUUGUGUUCUGCUCACCUCAGUGUGGAAACAUUGACUGUAUCACUGUUCAAAUUAGUUUAUUAUUUAUUGCCUUUCCUACCAUCAUAGUCUUGGGCACAUAGACUGUGCCCCCCAGAAGCUCAUGGUCUAGUAGGUAUGGGGUUAGGGGGAUAAAGAGAUGGUCACUAUAGCAGGGGAGGGAUGCUAUUAUAGGAGCAUCUCGAGAGGCAUCUAGUUCUGAAGGGCGGGUUGGGGGAGGGCAGGAGGUUGGGGAGUCCUUCCACGAGAGCACUAAAAGAUGACCUUGGGAGUGGGAGGGACGGUUCUGAGACAGGAUACCAAGUCUGUGAAAGAACAGAGCUUAUUCAGAAAUGGUGCGGAAAUCAGUGUAACAGAUGGGUGAGGGUGGAGGGGGGGCACGGGGUCCAGAGUUUUAAUAAUGUAAAUAACCAUUCCUUGUUUUAUUUUAAAAGCAUUUUGGAUGACACCUUCUCACAUCAGGACCCAUUUCUGUACUGAAUGGAGUUUUAUCAUUCUUAUGGCCAUGUGAAACACUUCUACUCUUUCUUUUUUUUUUCUCCGCAAAGUUCCAUUAACUCACUGGAUCCGGCCUUGCGUGUCCAGAAUGAAGCACAUUAAAGAGAUUUAUAGGCAGUUAAUUGGCUGUCUCUUUCUCAGUUAAUGUUUAAACAUACAUUUUUUUUUUGUUUCUAAACGUUACAUUAUUGUAAAGUACAGCAUUCACAAAAGAUAAUUUAGCAGGUUUUCUGUAAAUUACCUAUCAGAUGAAAAGAUAAUUCCCAAACUUCAUGAAAAGGCAGUUAAUUUCUGAGUCUUAUAUUUAGGAAAUCUUACCAAGUAAGAGUAAUUAACACAGGUGAAAGGAAAGAAGAAAGAAAGAAAAAAAAAUAGAGGGAAAGAGGUAGCUGAAGUCAUUGUUUAUCUUUUAGAUUGUUGUUUACAAUGUGUGCAAUAUUUAAAUUGAUAUGUCCACAAAAUACCCCCAAAUGAUUUGUGCCUAUAUAAUUACAUUUUAUAUUUUAUUGUUGUCUUUUUAAUAACACAUAUUUAUACAUUCAAGCUUCCUUGAAAAUCCUAAGCUUUAUUAGUAUUUUUACGGAUAAUAAAUAGUCGUUAUGAUGAUGAAAAAGCAUGAAGAGAAGGGAAAGUUCAAAUGAAGUAGGAUUUUGAUUUGUUAAGGUUAGGCAGAUGGUAAAGGCUGUUGAUAAUGUUUGUUGAGUCCGUGACUUAACGAUGAAAGAGAAAUGGUAACUCAUCUUUAUUAUAAAGGUCACAUUCGCUGUUGGUAAAGAACAUAUUGCCCUGGCUUGCAUUUUCCCUGCUGAGACAUGACAGAAUGCCAUUUUGUAUAUCCUUCAAGAAAUGUUCCUUUAUAAACAUAUAUUUCGAGAAAAUGCCCAUUUGUUUCUCUACAGGUGGGAUCAUAUGACAUACAGCUUGUUUUUCCCCCUUUGAACAAUGAACUAUGUAUAAUGAGAGUAAUCACAGUAGUUUGCAUUACGGUUCCAGGCACGAUGCUAUAAACACUUGCCGCGCAGUAUUCUUUUUAUGUCCACUGGCCAUUGACGGAUAAAGAAGCUGAGGAACAGAGAGGCUAAGAAAUGUGCCCUAGGUCACACAGCUAGUGUGGGCCUGGGCUUACAACACAGGAGGCUGACUGCAGAGCCUGGAUGUUCAGUCACUGUGUCUUCCUCAGGAGCAUCAUGAGGAUGAUCUGUGUCCGCUCACAAAGCCCUGCUCGCUGUCUUUAAUGUGCAGGCCUUACACGUUCCCCGCGGGCCUGUUCCAGCCGCCGGUCUCUGCACUCGUUGCGGGCUCUGGGAGAGCCCCAGGUACCCGCCUGGCAGCAGGUACCCGGCACCGUGGUCCCCCAGCGAGGAGGUGAACACCGCUGCUUCCUCGCUCUUGAGUGGGGUCGCUCUGAGGUGUGAGCUCUACCCUGACUCCGGGAGUGCCCGCUCUGGGGAGAGAGAGCUCGUGACCCAUUGGUCAUGUUACCGGAGUCGGUUGUUGGGCCCAACAGUAGAAGCGAGGCUGGACCCCAAAACCAAAGGCACAGCCAAAGCUCUCUUGGGGCUGCAGCUUGAGUGAAAGGGACACAAAGCACCAACAGAGACUGGCUGGGCCGGCCUCUGGGAGCAAAGAGAAGGCCCUGCCUGCAGGGAGAAAGUUCUGGCUCGGGUUCCCACUCCAGGAUGCUACUUGGGGGGGGGGGGUGCCUCGCCCUGAUUGGUUGGAAGGGCUUCAUUCUGAUUGGUUGGAAGGAGCUCAUCUUGAUUGGUCGCUAUUGGCAGGCAAUUCAGGCCGCUCAGUGCUUUUGGAGCAGAGUCUUCGGGUACGCGGAGUCUCUGUUGUAAAUCCGGGUUGGGUGCAGGGUUGCGUCCUGGUUCUGCUCGGUAAGAAAAGUGGUUUACCAGUAACUGCUAACUGGAGCACCGGGAUGGCUCAGUCGGUUAAGCUUCCUACUUCUGCUUAGGUCAUGAUCUCAGGGCUUGUGAGUUCGAGCCCUGUAUUGGGCUCUGCGUGGGUUUUUCUCUCUCCCCCUCACGGACUGGUGCUUUCUUAAAUAAAUUAAAUAAAUAAAUAAGUAAAAACUUAUAAAUAAAAACUAUAAAUAAAUAAAUAAAUAAAUAAAUAAAUAAAUAAAUAAAUAACAACUAACAGAAAGCGCCCCAGGUGCAUGGUUUUCACCUGGGACUUGUUCCGAUGGUCCCCAACUGUCUCAAUGACUGGCUUGAUUCCACACCCUGUCUUCCCGUCUUCCCUUCUCUGUGUCACGUCCCUGCUUCCUUACCCUAUCUCCUUCUAAUCUCAUACAAACGGUUUGCAUUGACUUCAUGCCCUAUGCUUUGAUUCUGAAGCACCCAGGCCAAGACAGGCUGCAUAAUGUUCCUUUUUUGAAGGUACCAAAGUCUAUUCUAUCGAUCUCAGAUGGGCGGAUUUUUAUAGGACUUCCAGUUUUUCUUACUACUGUGAAUAAUAUUGUUGUGAAUAUUAUGGCAUUAUUGUCUUUAGAUCAGGGCACACGGGGCUCCUGCCUCCAAGACCUCACCCAUCGGUCCUGUGUCUGGGCCUGGCCAAGGCCAGCAGCAUCGUCCAAGGUGGUACCCCACGUGUAGACCAGGACUGGCUGGGUCCCACAGUGUGUUUCUUCNNNNNNNNNNNNNNNNNNNNNNNNNNNNNNNNNNNNNNNNNNNNNNNNNNNNNNNNNNNNGAAUAUUAUGGCAUUAUUGUCUUUAGAUCAGGGCACACGGGGCUCCUGCCUCCAAGACCUCACCCAUCGGUCCUGUGUCUGGGCCUGGCCAAGGCCAGCAGCAUCGUCCAAGGUGGUACCCCACGUGUAGACCAGGACUGGCUGGGUCCCACAGUGUGUUUCUUCCUUUGAGGUUGUUAAAAAUGAUUAAAGAAGCCAGUUUAGGUGAUAGAAACAAACUUUAUUUAACACUUCAUGAAGCGGGCAGUCUUCCUUCCCAAGGAUCCAGAGAACUGCAAAAUGGGGCAGAAGACAGGAAGCUUUUAUGGGAUGAAGAAUAAGGAAAAGGAAGAACAAUGGAAAAAGAAUAGAAAGCAGGGAAAUAAGUAGAGACCCUGGAGUUGGCUUGGGGUGUGGGGAUUGGCUGACUGAGGUAGUGGGUGUCUGGUCCACAUGAGCAUUUACAGGGACCCAAAAGUUAUCUGCUUUCUUUUGCUGACGUGGAACCCGGGCAGGGGGAGGGGCUCCAUCUUGGGCCUCGAAAGUUGUUCCAACAGGGUGCACUUGGAUCCUUUAUCCCCUGUGGGGCUUACCUCAUGAGGAGCUCAGGGGUUCAUGCUUAUGGGCUGGUCUGGGACCACAUGGCUGGCCCCUGGUCCAGCCUUGCCAGCUUGUGGGAUUCCGUUCAUGGGAUCGCAGGGUCAGCAGAAUAGUGCUGACACAGAUUUCAGGUGACUCAAUUUUUAAAUAGAUGAGGCUCUCUAAAAUAUAUUUUCUCCUGGUCCCCACACAUCCGAGGGGAAGUCCUAUAUUCUUGUAUGUGGCCCUACUCACACUUGGAGUUCAGCAGCAAUAAUUCAGAAUUGUCCAGAGGUUUGAGAUCUGAUCUGAGCAGAUAUCUCCUGAAAUCCAUUCAGCUUUUCUCUCUGCAUAUCAAGACUUCUUGCUCAUUGAAUGCAUGAGCAUGUUUGGUGGGGCAAGGGGCUACAACAUGAUUUUCCUUAAAUCUGUGGAAAAAUUUUAAGAAGCACAAGAAAUUGCAGGUGAAAAUCCUGACUUCAAGUGAAUACUGAGAAUGUUUUCAAACUAAUAAAAUACAGCAUGGGCUCUAAAAUGUUAGACAACAUGGCUGAACGCCUUGGACACCACAGUGCGUGGUGUUGUACAGGCAGAUCAUCUUGCAUCAGUGAAAACCUUGUUGUAAACUUCUCAUUAUAAAGCUUCUUUUUGCCUAAUGUAAGGGUAUUGUCUUCAGAUUGUAAAGUCAGUUUUUUAAAAAACCACAUGGGCCGCUCUUCCUGUCACGGGUUCUGUCCCCGUGCUUUAAUAAAAUCACCUUUCUGCACCAAUAAAAAAAAAAAUGCGGUGCCUGGGUGGCUCAGUCGAUUAAGUGUCUGACUUUGGCUCAGGUCGUGAUCUCAUGGUUCAUGAGUUCGAUGAGUUCAAGCCCCAUGUCGGGCUCUGCACUGACAGUGAGGAGCCUGCUUGGGAUUCUCUCUCCCCCCACCCCCCUCUCUGUCCCUCCCCUGCUUGCACUCUCUCUCUCUCAAAAUAAAUAAUAAAAAUUAAAAAAAUAUGAAUCUAAGACAUUCUCUGCCCACAUCAAAUUAUAGACAGAGAUUGAAUGAUGAGGCUAGAAGUGUCACUUAGAAAUUCUGAUUUCAGAUUCUUAAGUUCACAUAGCCUCACUGUUCUUGUACAUUGGCUAUUUUAUAAAAAGUAAAUAAGUUUGCAUAUAGAAAAUCAUUUUAUAUGUAAUAAAGAUGGAGUUGAUAGAAUUGCCUUUUUCAGAGUCCAAAGGUCACUUUCCUAACCGUACAGGGCCCAGGUAGAAUGUGUCCAAAGCGGCUGGGUGGUCAGGCUGGGAGCUUGGUGAAGGGAUUUCCUAAGCCAAAGGCUGUGGUAGAUGGUGGGUGGGAGAUUUAACUGGUGAGCAAAUAUCCCUGCCCUCAUAGCGUUAAUGUCUAACUGGAAAGGUGAACAAUAAAUGGAUGGGCAAAGAGUUGAAAAAUAUGAAAUGCUAAGAGGCCAAGAAUGAAAUGGACAGGCUAAUGAGGGCGGCAGUGGACUGGAGAUCCUUCUCGACUGGGCUAGGUGGGGGGGAGGGCUAGGGGGUCAAGGAAGGCUGCUAAGGAGGUGGUAGUUUAGGGGAGAUCCAAGUCCUGUGGAAAUGUAGAGAAGGAGCAGUCCAGAGGGAAAGCCAAGCCAAGGAAGAGCCGCAGGGCUGGCUGGGAAGUCAUGAGUGUGGGGUGCCAGGUAAUUAGGGCCAUACCCUAGAAAGUCUGGAGGGAGUCCAAGGUUUACUUUACAGGCAGUGGGAAGGCAAGGAAGGUUUUUAAAAAGUGGGGCAGCGCCACGGUCUGAUUUCUGUUUCCGUGUCACUCUGGUUGUGCUGUGGAGAGAGGCAUGGGGGAAGGGAAGAGGAAGCAAGAGAGCAAUUUAGGAGCUCUCUGGUGGCAGACAGGGGGACUGUGAAGAAAUGAGUUCCAGAUCUGUUUUGGAAGUGAAAUGAUAACCGUUAAUCAUAGAUUCAGUGUAGGUGUGACAGAAAGAAGACUGUCAAGGAUGACUCCAGGAUUCUGGCUGGGCUUUAAUAAGGUAGUUGGGGAAGGUUGAAAGAGGAUUGCAUUUUGGGGGAAAGGCAAUAAUUCCAUUUCAGAUUUUUUUGUUCUUUUAAGCCGGAGGUACCAUUAUAUCCAAGAAGGUGUCAAGGAGGCAUCUGGAUAUGCUCGACCAUCUGGAAGUUAAAGUUAGAAAAGUCUGUGCUGAGACAUAUAAGUGGGGCUAUUUGAACCCAUGAUAUUUACAAUUUCAGUCCUAAGGAGAACCAUGGGUAUAGGGACUAUGGAGAGAGACAAGGGGGCCUGGGACAGAGAAGGGAGCAAUAUCAUGGGGGUGGGGGGCAGCGCAUGCGGUCCUCCAAGGUCAGUCUUCCUACUCCAGAUCAAAGAGCUGUGAGCCUCACAACUGCUUCUAGUGGGCGGUGACUCAGUGUCCAUUCGGUGCAUCAGGUCAUCUAAAUGCAAUGGGGGACAGGCAACAAUGGAGAAGGUUUCUCAUCUUUGUACUGGAAAUGUUCCCACUGUGGGUUCGGGGGGAAGAGCUGAGCUCACGAAACAUCUUCACCUAAAAUAAGAGGCGACCUUUUCAUUCAUGGAAAGUCAGAUUGCGUAAAUAUAAGUUGACAUGGACAGCCUCCUUCCAAAUUAAGAAUAGAUAUUAGGUAAAAGAGGCUAAAAGAAGAAAGGUUUUUCACUAAAGGGGCAGAACAAUCAUUCACCAUAUGAAAUUUUUAAAAAGAUCUGGCAGAUUUCUCCACUCUUAAUUUGUGCCACUAACACAAUGGUAAUGAGACUUUGAUUUCUUUUCUUGCUUUGUUUUGCAAGUUGCUUGCUUUGCUAAAAAGCUCAAGAUUUAUAACUGUCACUGACAGAAUAAAAAUAGUACAAGAACUAUGAUUAGUUUGUGUGUGUGUGUGUGUGUGUGUGUGUGUGUACACAUGGAAUAAUUAAAAUGUAUUGUAUGGCUUAAAUUCAGAUAGAAAAAGGCAAUGUUCCUCUUUCUUAUUUUUGUAAUUAAUCGAUCAUUUGUGCUUUUAUUGUUAGAAUUUGCUCAAACUCUAAUAUUCCAGUCUUCUGUUAGCUCACGUGAACAUGUGUUUGUGUUGGAAAAUGCUACUUAAAAAUCAGCCAUCCCUCUGCCUUUUAAACCUUCCUUCUUAGGGUCAACCAGGACUCCCAGGGCCACAGGGUCCUAUUGGACCCCUGGGACUGCCAGGACCCAUUGGAAUUCCAGGAGAGAAAGGGAUGAGAGGUGACAGCGGCCCUCCUGGAGCAGCUGGUGACAAAGGUGAUAAGGUAAGCCUUCUCUUAAGUGAGGGACUCUUACUAACCGCUUACUGGCACUACUGUGCCAGGUUUUUUAUAAUCACAAGUACUGUCUACUAGCACCUAAUAAUAAAUUAAGUUUGAACUCCUCUUCCAUAAUCAGCCCUCAUUCCCUGACUCCUUUCCAGAGGAGCAUGCCUUUCUAGACUUCUCUAUGCACUUAAAUACCCGAGUGCACCCAAUGAAGGGUUGUAUUCUUUCAUGGCUUUUUAAAAACGUAAAUGACAUAUUUGUUGUGCUAAGCUUUUCUUUUUUGUACUCAGCCAUAUGGCUUACAGGUCAUUCCUUAUCAAUUUGUGUAGAUCAAACUUACUUUCUUAAAAAUACUGCACAGUAUGUCUUAAUAUAGAUAAAACUACGGUUUAUGAUGUUUUACAAUAUGAUGUAAAUUGGAGGUCCUGUCCCAACUUUGUGUCAUGCUAGUGUGCAGAAACAAUCCUGUAAAUCGCCUGCACUUGCAUUUAAUAGUUUAUUUCUCUAGGAUAGACAGACUCCGGGAAGUUGAAUUUCCGGCUUAUAGGGUAUUGAACAUUUUCUUUGAAUUGAUGGUGCUAAGUUGGCUUCCUAAGUACAAAAAGAAAAGUACAAAAGGUUGCUUUUUAAUUGUUGGCAUUUAAAUUCAUUAAUGCAAAAAAAUAAGUGACAAUGACUGCUAAGAGUCUUUUAAAAAAUUAUGUCAUUAUUUAUGUUUUCAAGUAAAUCCAUAUGUUAAUCUAAUGCUUUGAUACCUCUUAUAUCUUUGUUUUGUUGUCUGGGAUUUUAGGGUCCAACUGGUGUUCCUGGAUUUCCAGGUUUGGAUGGCAUACCUGUACGUAUCCCUAAAUUUUCUCCAUUUUUUUUUUAAAAAAAGAGCUCAUCAAAACCCUUAAAAUCACAUAUAUUUAUAUGGCAAACUCUUCUUUAUUUUCUUUUGAUAGUACAAGGAAAGGCGCUUACCUUCCAGUUUUGUGUAAUAACUUUGAGACUAAAAGACUUUACUUGAAAAGUAAGGUUUUCAAACAGAUUCGAGAAAAACAUUCCACAAUAUAAGCUAUAUAUACCUGCCAUAUUCUGGAAAUAAAUGUAUACUCACAAUGCGAGUUUUUACUUGCUGGUUAGUUUUGACAGUAAAAGUGGGCUUAAAACUCUCAUUUCUAAUAUGGAAAUGAAAUGAAAGAAGGAAGAGUUAUUUCAGAAGCUUUAUAACCCAUUAGAGAGUAUUUGUAAAGAUUUUAAGGAAGGUGCUCUCCUAAAUUUCUUAGAAUAUUCUAAACUAAAUUAAUUUCAACUGGGCUGUAUUAAAAUGUGUCUAUAUAUUUUUACUCUGCUACACAGUACUUGUGGGUGGGAAGGAAGUUUUUACAAAUUAAAUAACACGUGAGUCACAAAUGCCUUAAUUUGGGUACCCACAUUGUGUAAACUUUGUGUUGCCGUAUUCUUGCAGAAACACUUCACUUACAAUCUUGUUUUUUACAGGGGCACCCGGGGCCUCCUGGAUCCAGAGGCAAGCCUGGCAUGCAUGGGUACAAUGGCUCGAGAGGUGAUCCAGGGCUUCCAGGAGAAAGAGGAGUUCCUGGCCCAAGAGGCCCCCCAGUAAGACCCCCCACAGCUCAUCCUAAAGGGAAUCUUAAGUGAAGGGCUCUACAGUGGGCACAUGCUUGAUGUGCUCAAGAAACAGAAUUAGUACAAGUGUGCCCGGAGCAUGGCGAACAGAUGGGGGUUAAUGGAGGAUGAGCACGGAGAGGUGUGCAGGACGUAGAGCUCUUGGGCCUAGAAGACUGCGGGAGGCACUGGAGGAUUAUAAGGAAGGAAGCAGUAUGAGCUGAUUGAUGUUCCGUUAAGGUGCUGCAGGCUGCUGGACAGAGAAUGGAUAGUAAGGGAAGGAGCAGGGAGGUCAGUUAGCAAAACUUGUAUUGUUUAUCCUUCAGGGUCCGCUGCAGAUUCAUAAACCCUCUAGGUAUUUCCAACAGGAAGGAAUUCAAUAUAGGGAAUUUGGCAUGUAUUGGAAAGACUGGAGGAGUGGAACGCAGGGGCCACUGCAAGACUAUGAUUUCAAGGGCUCACGCUUAGCUGAGAUCCACGAGUCAGGAGGCUGCUCCUGGACAUAACCACUGCCUCCCACCCCAUGUCGAGACACCAGCAAACAACCACUCAAGCUUCUAAGCUUUCCCACUUGGCAGUAACAACAGUUCCAGGAAGAGGAUGUCUUCUUCACUUCUGCCUUUCAUAUCUCAUAAGUACAUUGCCUGGAUGGACCCUAAGUCACAUCCCAGCUGCAAAGCGGUCUGGGAAAUGUAGUUUUAGCUUUCUCAUCCCCAUAAUGCGAUAAGCUAAAUGGAAGGCAUUUGGAAUGGAUGUUCAGAAACAGUUGACAAUAUCCAGCACUUGAGGGAACUUUACUGCUUUUAGGUAUUCUUUUUUUAUUUUUAAAAUUUGGACUUUUAUUUAAACAUAACUUUAGCAAGCACUGCUCUUUCCUCUUAUCCCCCUGAUAUUCUCUUUUUCUCUCUUUUCCUUCUUCUCACGUAAAUAUAGGAGAUGAUUUGCCCUUUCAAAACUGAUUUUCUGUGACUUUUUCAGCAUUUCCACUUCCCUAUAAAUACCAUUUCCCAAGAUUCCUUCUUAAAAGUUUUCUUAUUACCACUGUAGUCAUCCUGCUUUCUGUUCACGAGUUUUCCAUUUCCUCCCAAUUCUAGGGGAACUGAGUAGAAUACAGAACUCAUAAACAAUUUCCAUAUUCACAUCCUUCUUUAGUGCCAAGUGAGAACAACAACCGUCUUCCAUAGUUACGCUUCUCAAUCACCCUUUGUUUUCAAAGGCGUAAGUUCAGUCUUGUGAAUGCAUGUUUCUUAAGAUCUUCAGAUGGGUCAAACCCCAUUCUGCUGAGUGUCCAUGAACGUUCAGAAGAGGAAUUUUUGAUUUUGGCUUUCACAGAGCAUGCGUAGUGACCACAGUACAGAGCAUGUCGUAAUAGUGGUUUUGCAAAGCAACUUUCUUACCUUUGACCCAUUUCAUUUGUAGUCCGUCCUCACUUGGCCCAGUGGUGUGAGAUGUUAAGAAUGGCUGUGCACGCUGACACCACAUAAAGCAACCUUAACAUCCAAGGGGGAAAAAUGACAGUUGUUCUCUGGCUUUCAAUAUGUCCUGUUAAGAUACUAAAAACUCUCUUAAUGUUAGUUACGAGUACACAAGGAAAAUUUUAAAAAACAAAUACUGAUUUAGUAUAUUGUCAUUUAAAAUGUACACAUUGAAAAUGGAAGUGUUUCAGUUCUUUGUAAAAACUACCAAGAGUAUUUUGAAUGGUGCCUUCCUCUCCUUAUGUAACCUAUGAUAUAAAGUGAAUACAUUUUCUGUGCUUCGGUGAGUUGACAUACUCUCUCCUGCAUUUGGAUCAGCUUCUGGUGCUGUGAACUGUAUUGAAGAGUCCCGUCACCACUAGGGUCUUCUGCCUGUGCCAUUUCCUCGGGAAAUCUUCAACCUUUUGGUCUCAGCCAUUUCCCUUUUUAGUGUUGAUCCCUGUGUCUUCAUGGAGUCCCUCUGGCUCAGGAGUGUCCACAUUCCCACGAUCGUUCAGUUGUUUCUUCUCUAACUCUACUUACGUUCUGUCAGAAUUUCUCUGCAGCUUUAUCAUUUUUCAUUUGCUCACUUUGCUUUCAUCUUUGACGGCCAACAGCCUCUUCCAGUGGGGUCUGUUUUCGUGAAAUGUCAUUUGGGUUCAUCACUGGAAGAUAAGGAGGCAUCACAAAUGCACAUUUGGCUGGUGUGUGUGUGUGUGUGUGUGUGUGUGUGUGCACAAGAGCAUACGCCCGUGCAUGCUAACAGGUGUACAGUGACCAAUCACUGACAGACUGAAAGGGACGAUGGGACCAGGGAUCAUGAUUCGCACCUGUUACUUAUAGCUAUUUAUGGACCAAUGAGGUAGCUGCAAUUUGCUACUACUCGGUCAACGUGCAGUUAGUCGGUCAAUAUGAGGUGGUAACUGAAAUUUGAACCCUUUCGUUGGAGGACUGGUGCUGUUGCACUUAACUGUGGAGCUAAAAUUCGUGCCUGUUGAAACUGUGUGAAGCAGGGACUGUCUGUAUAGGCCAAUCGGAUGCUCAGGGAAGACGGUUUCUGUAACUUACCGCAAAAGCCUGAAGUUUCUCCCACUGGAAGCGAGGUCAGGACUUUUCUAGGAGGGAUUAACUUUGAAAUCUGCACGUCCUUUGUAGGAGCUUGAUAAAUGAUAUAAUUCUUAUGUGGUUACCAAAUUAAGAUAUAUUAAGAUAUUCAGUAGGAAAACUUUGGGAAAAGAGAAUACAUUGAAUUUUUUCAUUCACUUUUUAAAAAUACUCUACAUAAACUUGCAGCUACCUACAGAAACCUUCUAAAAGGAAGAUGUUCUGUUUUUAAAAGUUAAUCUUACAAAGUUACAGAGGCCCUAUUUUGAAUAUGACAACUAAAAUGGAUAAAAUCAGUUGUUAAAAAACUGAUUUUCUAGGGCCUAAUUUAUUCUAGGGCCUAAAUUCUAGUGCCUAAAUUAUUAACCGACAAUUGCAAAAUUGUUUACUUGUAAGAAGUAUAUAUUUGCAUUAUUAUGUCUGAGGGAAAAUGAAAUUUUCCUGCUGAAUAAUUAGUAAAUGGCUAUGUAUAUUAUUAUAUACUAUGUAGCCUAUAUAUAUUAUAUAUUUAUAAGAUAUAUGUAUAAUAUAAAUAUAUUAAUAGAUACUCUCUUUGGAGAUUCUUUAAUAGAUCUUAACUGAAUUUUGAAUAAAUAUGUAUGAGAACCUUAGGACGAUAGCAAUAAUGAAGAAAUGUCCUCUAGUGAAACAUGACCAUAAUGGUAUUUUACUGGUGAGUAAUAUUUCAUAACAAAAGAAAAUACUACAACGGUAAUAUGAUUUUUCCCCCUCCUAAGUGAAUAUUUUAUUUUCAGGGCCUUCCUGGGGAAAAUGGAGAAAAAGGAAAUUCUGUGUUCAUUUUAGGUGCCAUUAAAGGAAUUCCGGUAAGUUUUAUGAUCAUAGUGAGUUUAAAAUAUUAUUUUUCCGCUAAGUAAACCCAUCCGGGAAACACAUGGACAUAUCUCUUUUGAAAUGUCCCCAAGCACACUGUUUUUAAUCAUUACCCUGACUCUGUAGAUGGCAUCAUACUUCUUGUGUGAAGACACUUAGCUUUAAUUGCUCAGGCUAUAAAAUUCCAGUACCUCCCAAUCGUUCUUGCAAAGUGCAGCAGAGACACUUAUUUCCGGGUUUCUCAAUCUUAGCACUGCUGGCAUCUGGGGCCACAUAACCAUUCCUUGUGGGUGUUGACUGCGUGCAUUCUAAGAUGCUGAACGGCAUCUAUGGCCUCUACCCAUUAGAUGCCAGUAGCAUCCCUCCAACUAAAUAAUAUCUCCAGAUAUUACCAAGUGUGCCCUGGGAGGAAAGGUCACCCUAGUUGAGAAGCACUGAUUUAUUUGUAGUGAAAAUAUUGUAAUGUUAAUACCUGCUAUCUGGUAUAAAAGGAAUCACUGCUCUUGAACUUGAAAAUUAUGGAAACUUUACAGCACUAUCCUUGGUAAAUUAAAUGCUUUUGUGUUUCCAUACACAAUGAUAUACAAACUUUCAGAAAUAAACUCUUGAAUGACCAUCUAUAUCUCUAAUAUGAGUACCAUGCACGAGUUAAGCAGAUCAGUAGAUACAAGUCAAGAAGGAAAAUACAGUUCAUUUCCAAGACAUGGUCAUUUCUCUUCAGAAUAUUCUACGACAUUUAGGUAAAACUUAAGUUUCUUCUAUUAGACCCUGAGUUUCAUGCCACCCAGGAUGGGCAACACCUGAAUGCUGAUUCCUUUAGUGAGGUCACAUUAUUCGUUUGUAGCCUCUGAGCCUAUACACGGCAACAACUAUGCUUUUGUUUAUAGCUUAAAUGAUAUGUUAAGAAACUUAGCAGCAAGAGGAGGGUCACUCUAGGCACCAGGAAGGAAUAAACUGAUCCUUUCCUGCCACUGUGAUCUUGAGCAACCCCUCAAACUCUCUGAGCCUCAUUUUCCUUUUCUUUGUGAAGGUCUGCCCUGCUGUCUUCUCAGCACUGAUGAUCUAUUGUAAUAAUUAAAAAAAAAUUUUAAUGUUUAUAAAUUUAUAAACAUUAUAAUGCAAUGUUUAUAAAUUUAUAAACAUUUUUAAUGUUUAUUUAUAAACAUUAAUGUUUAUUUAUUAACAGAGAGAGAGAGAGAGAGCAGGGGAAGGGCAGAGAGAGACAGAGGGAGACACAGAAUCCAAAGCAGGCUCCAGGCUCCGCGCUGUCAGCACAGACCCCGACGCGGGGCUGGAACCCACGAACUGUGAGAUCAUGACCCAAGCCGAAGUCGGAUGCUUAACCAACUGAGCCACCCACGUGCCCCAAAACAAUACUUUUAAGAGCCCAUAGCCACUUCACAGCCAUUUGGAUGGUUAUUUAAAAAAUAAGAACAAAAACAAAAAGAAACCCUGAAGUGCCUGGGUGGCUCAGUUGAUGAAGCAUCCAACCUCGGCUUUGGUCAUGAGCUCACGGUUCAUGAGUUCAAGCCCCACAUCGGUCUCUCUGCUGUCAACGCAGAGCCUGCUUUGGAUCCUCUGUCCUCCCCCUUCCCCCCGUCCUUCUCUCACUCUUGAAAAUAAAUAAAACAUUAAAAAAACCCAGAAAAUCUUAAGUGUUGACAAUUAUGGGGAGAAGUGGAACUCUUCUGUAUGGCUGGUAGGAAUGGAAAAUGUGUAGCUGCUCUGGAAAAUAGUAUGAGGGCUCCUCAAAAAAUUGAAAUGUAGAAUUACCUUAUGAUCCAGCAAUUGCAUUUCCAGGUAUAUACCCAAACGAAAUGAAAGCAGGGACUCAAACAGAUACUUGUACACCCACCCUAGCAGCAUUACUCAUGACAGCCAAAAGGUGGAAGCAAUCCAAUGGCCCAUCGUUGGAUGAAUGGAUAAACGGAAUGUGAUCUCUACAUACAAUGCAGUAUUAUUCAGCCUUAAAAAGGACAGGAAUUCUGACACAUGCUACAAGGGGGAAUGAACCCUGAGGUCAUUAGCUAAGUGAAAUAAGCCAGUCAUAAAAGGACAAACAAUGUAUGGUUCCACUUAUAAUGAGGUUCCUAGAGUAGUCAGAUUCACAGAGACCAAGAGUAGAAUGAAUGGUGCCUGCCAGGAGCCGGGGGAGGGGAAUGUAUUGAAUGGCUACAGUUUCCAUCGAGCAAGAUGAAAAGUUCUAGAGACGAUUACACAACAGUGUGAAUAUACUUAAUGCCACAGAACUGUACCCUUAAAAUUGGCCAAAAUGUUAACUGUUAUCUUAUGUAUACUUUAUAAUAUAUUUUGCAUUAAAAAAGCUAUAUUCAAUAAAAUAUACUCUUUGCAUUUUUAAAGUGUGUAGUCUCAGGGCAGAGCCACUAAGCUGUUGAUCCACCAAGAGGCAGGUGUGAGAGAAUUUCCACAUGAAUUCCCUUUCCAUCCCUAUAGGGUGAUAAAAAGGAGCAGGGUGUCCAUUAUAAGAGGCAAGUUCUGGCAGUUAGACCAGAGACUGUUAAACUGUGAUGAAAUGGGACCAUUGAGUUGAGAGUUAAGAUUGUAAAUGGAAAGAUGAAAAUCUCAUCUUGACUCUGUGUCAUCAUGACUCCAGCAGUCUUUGUCUGGUUUUGGCUGAAUCGAAGCACGAUUCCGGGCCUGGGAAUGGACACAGAAAGUUCCCUGGGUGGAGCCCUCCACGGUUGUCUUGUCCACGCUGAAAAAUUGAACAGGCUGCACAGAAAGUCCAAAUAAUUCCUGUGUGUUCUCCUCCCUUUGCAUCACAUGUGUUUGGGUAAAAUGGUGCCUCUCUUCUAAAGCAAUGCAUCGUUACUAUUGCAGGGUGACAGAGGGGACCCAGGACCUCCUGGCUUGCCGGUAAGUCUCCCCAGCAAGCCGUUUGCUUCUAUUGCUUCCCACACUGUUUGUAUCCUAGCAGGACUGGCUGCAAAAUUUGCAGAACCCACCGGGCAAAAUGAGAGCUUUGAUCCCCUGUUCAAAAAUUAUUAAGAAUUUCAUGGUGGUGACAGCAGAGUGUUAUAUCAGGCAUGUGGCCCUGUGUGACCAUGCAGGUGCCAGGCCCGUGAACUAACGGUCCUGGAGUCUCCACAAGCUGCUGCUUACCUUCGUCUUCUGUUUUUUAGUGGUCAUUUGGCCUUACUCAGGUGCAUACAUUCACUUAAUAUUUGGGAAGGUACAUGUCCCUCUAGACUACCCAAAUAAUACAUGUUGGUGGAAACGACUUUGCUUUAUACCAUUCUGCCUGCUGAAUCAGUAACUGUGUAUUGCAUUUAAUUUUUUGCCCCAUCUUUAUCUUCCUGAAGUUGUUUUUUUUUUUAAUUUUUCAAAAUGUUUUUAUUUAUUUUUGAGACAGAGAGAGACAGAGCAUGAGCAGGGGAGGGGCAGAGAGAGAAGGAGACACAGAAUCCGAAACGGGCUCCAGGCUCCGAGCUGUCGGCACAUAGCCCGAUGUGGGGCUUGAACUCACGGAUCGUGAGAUCAUGACCUAAGCUGAAGUCAGACGCUUAACCGAGCCACCCAGGCGCCCCUAUCUUCCUGAAGUUGUAAAUCAAUGAUUGUAUUAGUUUUUUGCAGUUAAUCAAUCAGUGUUCACAAGAUUAAGAUUGACAGCAAUUAUGCCUCCGAAGGAUUAACCUCUUAUUUUGCUUGGCAACUUUCAGCUGUAGACGGGCUUGCUUUCCCACAUUACUUUCCUCAUAACCCUUCAGGCUCAGUUUGACGUAAUCAGUGAGAUACCUUCAUGUUGCCGUUAACAUAAAUACCAGUUCAUCCUCCUGGAGAUAGGGAUUUCUUGCAUGCUCGCAAAUAAUUUGACAUGGGCAGAGUUGGUGGGAGAAUAGAGCCUCUCCCCACACCUCUAGGAAUGCACAGCUGUAACCCUUCCUUGUGAAUUUGUGUGGAAUUAUGCUAUCAUGUACAUGGUGCAGAAAAUUGUGACUGAAUCACCUUAAUCUUGAAUCAGGGGCAUUUCUAUUCACAUUGAUCUGAUAGGGUAUGUCUUAAAAAUAUAUUAAAGAGUAUAAAUACAGUCAUAGUGUAAUAUUCAUUGUUAUUAGCUAAUAUGAAUGUUUUAAAAAGCAUCUUGACAUAUAUCAGUUUUAUAACAUAUAUAGAAUUUAGGAGUAGCUGGUAAUAAGUUUUCUUUGUUCUUUACUUUUGCUAUUGCAAGAUUUAUUUAUAAACAAGUAGAUUGAUCUCUGGGUCUUAAUUUAAUCCUAAAUGUAAGAGUUGGUCACACCUGCCAGACUAUUGCUGUCAUGCAGCUCUGUGCCCUUUUUUUUUUUUAACGUUUAUUUCUUUUUGGGAUAGAGAGAGAGAGAGACAGAGACAGAGACAGAGCGUGAGCAGGGGAGGAGCAGAGAGAGAGGGAGACACAGAAUCCGAAGCAGGCUCCAGGCUCCGAGCUGUCAGCACAGAGCCUGAUGCGGGGCUCGAGCUCACAAGCCACGAGAUCAUGACCUGAGCCAAAGUCCAACACUUAACCGACUGAGCCCCCCAGGCGCCCCACUCUGCGCCCUUUUAAUGGCAUGUCAGCUGCUGUGAAGAUGCUCCUGCUAUAGGGCAGAUGUGUCCGAGACUGUGAUUUCUUUGGAGGUUUUUAAUCCACCUUGGAUUACACGCAGCUCUUGCUGUGACCCAUGAUUUUGAAUUUGAGUAACUAAUGUACUGAUUGUUCUCGUGUUUAGGGAUCUAGGGGUGCGAGAGGACCAGCGGGCCCAAUGGGACAUCCAGGAGAGCCUGGCUUACCAGUAAGUACAGCACUGCUCAUUCUGGCCCUUCGAAAACCCAGCCUGUAUGUUUAAAUUAAGCAAAAGCCAAAAAAAAAAAAAAAGAAGCAAAUUGAAACCUUGGGGUGGGUAGGCACAGGUGGGUUGUUUGAGAAGUUACCACUUGAUGAUAAUCCGCACACCCCCCCCCCCCCCCCCCCCCGCCCCCCACGUGUGAGUUUUUCUUGUAGACUUGAAGCAAGGGUCCUCCAGGGAAACAAGCCAUGGGAGGAAACAGCCAGGAGGGGGAGACCAGCAGCAUGUUUUAAAGUUCAGGGUUUCCUAAAGAGGAUCUUGAGACAGCCCAACGCGGACCCGUUGUGAUUUCUGUGACUGAUACUUGAUUUGUGCCUUUUUGCCCUUGAUUUAGGGUGCUCCGGGCCAUCCUGGGAGACCAGGCUUGAAGGUGGGUGGUCAUGAGUAAGAUGCUACAAAUGGAGACUGUCCGUGUAUAAUGAGAUUAGUGACCACGAGAUUUGUCAGAAUUAUGUCUUUCCCUUAUUAGACUUCCCCAAAUAUUUAAUAAACUUCACUUAAUUGCUUAACCAGAAAUCUUACUUGCUUGUAAUUACCUUUUAAAUAUUCAAAAGCAAUUACCUUUUUUUUUUUUUUCCUUUUCUUUCCCAGGGUAAUCCUGGCGUGGGAGUGAAGGGGCAAAUGGGAGAACCGGUAAGAAUCCCCUUUUGCGCGGAGGAGCAGACGUUAAAAUGUAUGUGCUGCCGGGGCGGCGGGGAGGGGGAGGCUGUUCUGAUUGUCACUUAAAUCGUGUUCAUUAUCCAGUUAUCGUGUUCACUGCCCAGUUUUAUGGCUGAGAUGCUGUUUUUGCUGAAUUAUUAUGGCACCGUUACCCUUGACUGUAAAAUGACAGUCCUGGGAAAAUUUACCACUAAAUUCAAGUUAAUGUAUAUGACACAUUUUACCCCAGCAAAAAGAGAUUGAACAUUUCUGAUAAUUUAGCAUAUCCAGCGUAAUGGUUUGUUUAAUUACUAUAUUGCUUGGCUUAAUUUCACAAAUUUCCUCAGAAUCCUAAACUCUACACAUAAAUAAAAAUAUAAACACCUGGAACCAAAAGCAUUUAGCGACACAGUCUCCCACUCUCUCCUGCCUCAUACCUAUGCUCACUGUCCCUCACCCCUUCCUCCCUCACAUCCACAGUCCUUUCUCCUGAAGCAUGAAACUCACCAAAGAUAAGCUUUAGAAAGGUAUUUUAAGAUGGCAGCUCAUCUGGAAACAAUCUGAAUGUCUAACAGUUGGUAAGCAGCCCGUGCCACAACUGUGGGCAAGUAGAUAUUGAGCGUCUACUCUGCCAGGCUAAGAUCAGUGCUGGAUAUGGGGAUUUUUAGCAAGACCGACUUGAUCCCCACUCUCAUGGAGUCCCAGUGUGGUUGGGUAAGUUAUGGUGCAGGCAUUUAGCAAAACGACUCUAUUGCCCAAAAUACACUGGAAGACUUCAUGAUGUGCAGACAUGCCUAUGACAUAAUGUGGAUCAGAAAGUACAGGUUACUAAAGUAUAAGAUCAAUUAAAACAAUACAACAGGGGCACCUGGGUGGCUCAGUCAAGCGUCCGACUUUGGCUCAAGUCAUGAUCUCACAGUUCGUGGGUUCCAGCCCCGCGUCGGGCUCUGUGCUGACAGUUCGGAGCCUGGAAACUGCUUCGAAUUCUUUGUCUCCCUCUCUCUCUGCCCCUCCUGGACUCACACUCUGUGUCUUUCUCUCUCUCUCUCUGUCUCAAAAAUAAAUAAACAUUGCAAGAAUAAGCAUGGUUAUAUUUACCAAAACAUGUUACUCCCUUGCUUAUGUAUUAUUUUUGCAUUCGUUUAAUCAUUUAUGCACAUAACAUAAAUGCUUCAGAGCAGCGGCUGUAACAACACCAUCAAAUAUUAGGGUACAUUAAAAAAAAAUAAGCCUAGGUCCCUAACCUGGUUCUUCUGUAGUUUCCAGUUAUAGGUAGGGAUUGAAUUAUUGGCUUUAUUAUUUCAUUUAAAUUGGAAAUAGUAUUCUUCUUCCCCAAAUCCCACUUAACAAAAACAUUAAUGGCUUAAAAAUUAUGUAUUUGAGAAUCUUUGUUCCACUCAGUGUAGUAAGUACUAAGCAUUUUAUGUGCAUUGUCUGUUUAAUAAAGUAAUAAUACUUUGAAGUAGACAGUGUUAUAACUAACCCUCAGUUCACAGAGAAGGAAGGUGGAUUCAGAGGAAUCAAGGAAACAAAGGCUAGGUAGGACAGAUUUUUAAGGAACUUGUCCAAAAUGACAGUCAGUAUGGGCCUAGUUUGCAAACACAGGUGACCAGCUCUAUCAUCUGGUCUUAACUAUAUCUAAGUGCAGAAUGAAUAGAAAUAUUCAGAUAAGUAAAAAAAAAAAAACAAUUAUCUGCUAAUUAAGGGUGAGAAUUUUUGGUUGUAUCAUGGCAAACCCAGUUCAGGGGACAUUUUAUUCCCAAGAGAAUAACAUUUCUAAUGACAUAAAUGACAACUUUUGGUUAACUAUUCUAUACAGAGAGCUUAAACAUAUCGAAAACAAAUCAGAAAUAACCUAAAUCUAACUAGAGUAGGAUGGCUUAAUAAAUGGUAGUAUAGUCUUACGGUAGAUUAUUGUGUACACACUAAAAAUCAGGUUUUUGAAGAAUUUGUAGUAUAAUUGGAAAAUGUGCAAAAAAUAUUAUUAUAAAAGAAAAAUACAAAACUCUUUUAAAACUUGAAACUGUAACAAAAUAUAAAAAUAUAAACCAUUGUGUGUAUUUUAAAUUAUGUUUAUAUAUUCUGUAUAGCAUUCUGAUUGUCUUUUAAAUUGUAUUUAACACAUCAUUUGAUCACAUACAUGUGUGUACAUAGGUACAUUAUCCAAGGUAUGUGUACAGAUACAGACUCAUAAGCACACACACGACAAAGAACUAUACCAAAGUUUUCAUAGAGAUCUCUGAUGAUAGGAUUAUGAAUCGCUUAUAUUUUUAAAUUUAAUUUUUUUAAUUUUAAUUUUAAUUUUAAGUUUUCUUUUUAUUUUAAGUAGGCUCCAUGCCUAGCAUGGAGCCCAAUGUAGGGCUUGAACUCACGAACCUGAGAUCAAGACCUGGGCUGAGAUCGAGAGUUGGACACUCAGUUGACUGAGCCCCCCCCAGGUGCCCCUAGUUUGUUUUUGUUUUUGUUUCUGUUUUUUAAUUUUAUUUCUAACGAUCAGUAUUAUUACUGGUGAAAAACAAUAAAUACUUUAAGUUGCAUGAUGUAUUUGCCAUGAUUUUUGUUUUAAACUCAUGACACACAGGACUGUAUGCAUUAGAUGACAAUACAUGGGUGAAAUUCUUCUUUGUUUCAAAUUAUAUUUCAAAAUAAAGUUAAUAUGAAAUUCCUAUUAUCUUCCUUUUUUUUUAAGGGUGAAGUUGGCCAGCAAGGUUCUCCUGGACCCACCUUAUUGGUACAGCCACCUGAUUCUUGUCUGUAUAAAGGAGA